rnacentral:lncRNA from 1 species
AAACAACAAUGUGAAUGCUCAUGAUGGUUCUCUUAACUUUUAUCAUGUUGUUGCAAUUGGAUGUUUCAUUAUCAACCUAAUGAUAGAAAAUAAACUUCCUAUCAAGAUGAAAUUUAUGAAAUCAAGUUGUUGUGUCGUGCAUUACCUUGUAACCCACGUGCUUCUUCCAAGAAGGGAAAUUUUUGAUGAGGUCCUAAAAGAAUAUAUGGUAUCUAUGUGGCUGCUAACCCAAAAUUUUCAACUUAAUUAGACUUAUGGAAUGUUUCGGUACAUGUUCAAGUUCCAAAAAAGUAAUUGAAUAGGAUUAAACUACAAAAGUUUAAUCACCUUUCCUGGUUAAAGCUUGAAUCUUUUUGGAUAAUGAAACUCUGGUUCUGCUUUUAGGCAAAUUUAUGCAAAAUCUCUAAGCCAGAUCAAGGUUUGAGUUGGUGAUGGGACAUUAGAGGAUGCUCUUAUGGAAGCAUGUGAUAACAAAGAUAAUCAAGGACCAUCUUCUGAAAGAAUGUUUAUGACCCUUUUAGAAUCCUCCUAAGAGACUGCUCAGACUAUUCAAUAUUUGACCAAGGGCAAUGCUCUCAUAAAUAAACAUGUUUUUGUAAAGGAAAUAGUCAAUAAUGAUAAUAGCGAUAAUUAGUAGUUAUCUCACUUAUUGUUUGUUUAUCUUUUUAUUGUGUUUAUUUCUAGAAAUUUCAUGUUUAUUGUACUUUGAAUCUAUUUCACUUAAAUUAAUAAUAAGUAUUUUAUCUCCCUUCUUAUUUUAUAUGUUGACUUAUGUGUUUGAAUUUACUUUUCUAUUUGUUUAUUAUUUCCUCCUUUUUGAUAAUGUCAAAGGAGGAGAAGUAUACUCUCAUGGGGAGUAGGAAAAUCUCUCUAUUUUUCAGGGGGAGUUUAACCACUUCAAUCCUUUAUCUAUGUUUCUUUGUUUGUAUAAAUCUCGGAGAGAUAUGUUGUCAUCAUCAAAAUGGGAAGAAUAUGGAUCUAUAUGUCUGCAGGUAUAGUGUAUGCAAUAAUCAAAUAUCCAUAAUAGUUUUGAUGAUGACAACACUAUGAUGUGAAGUAUUCAUCUUAAAAGUGAUGAUCAAUAUGUUAUAUCAAGAUCAAAAAAAUUCAUUUGUGACAUCAAGAUACCAAAGCCAAUAUCUAUAAGGACAAAACCUAAUGUCAAGCGAUGUUUGGUGAAAUCCUUGAUGGUAUAUGGUCAAGCAAUAUCUAAUGAUGGUAUUUACCAAGAAGCUCUAUCAAGCCUCAUCAGUUAGAAGAAGCCAAGUAUUAGAUGAAGUGUUGAAUUAAUAAUGAUCCAAUUAGGGGAUCUUGAAGCUUCAAAGAUUGUGAAAGAAAGGAACUGUGAAAGCUCUUAUGGCAUGUCCUUGAGUUAUCACAAUAUUGUAAAGAUAUAAGAGUAACUCUUAAAUUACUAAAGUAAUGCAAACACCCACCUAAAAAUAUUUUAAACCUAUAGAGGAACCAUCAAGGUUCUAUUGGGAUUGACCUAGAGUGAUAUUGAUCAUUUAGGAAGCUUGUAUACAUUGCUUAAUUGAUAAGGGGCCUUAACCAAUCAAUUAUAGCAAGGUAUAAAGCUUUUUCAUUGAUGGUAGAAACUUCCUUGUCCAGAUUUUGAAGAACUAUAAAAUUUUCAUGGGAGAUUACAAGAAUGCCAUUCACCAUUCCUUUAUUGGGUGUAACUUGAUGAGAUUCAAUUACUUUUUCUUCCAUUGGACCAUUCCUUAAUUCGCCUUAAAAGACAAUAACCAUGUUUUGGCUUAAAGUUAUUGAGUCAAGUGGCAAUGGAUUAAGUCAAAUGAUUCAAUUCAUAGUCAAAUAAGGCAACCCAUCUGAGUGAAUCCUUCUACAAUAUGAUAUGUGGUUAAAAAUCCCACCGACCCAAUUGGUUGAGAGAUCUUGGGUUAUAACCCACAUAGAAAAAAGGUCUUGCUUUAUGAGUACUCUAUGAUUCUCUUUUCUUCGAAAUAGAAUAUUGUGAAACCUUGUUUUGCAGGUUAGUUCCAAGUGACAUGCCUUUAAUAAGGACAACAACUUUUGAUGUUGACUAUUGAUGUCUAAUGAUGACUUAAUAACAAGUCAAGCAUAAGCUGUUAAACAAUUAAAGAUGCAAACCAAGAUAUUUAGGUUUGAUAAGACUUGACUAUCUGAUGAUAGAAACCAAAUGGAAUAUAAAUCAAGUCUCAUCUCAAAGUAAACUCAAGCAAGUGUCUACAAGAAAUAAUGCAUCUGAAAAGUCUUGAAGUAUAAGAAAACUCUACCUUGAUUACUUUGAGUGAAUACUUUGUAAAGCAUAAGACAUUCUCAUAAAAGUGCAAGGCUGAAUCACCCACACACGAAAACAAUUUUUAAACUGAUUUUUCUCAAGAUUUUUUUUCAAAAAUAUCUUGAAGUUGUUCCAUAUGAGUUGGAAGUUGUCAGAAAAUCUCUAAGGGAAUUUUUGUCUUUGCCAAUCGAUUGCCACCUUAACCAAAUCGGUUGGGUCAGUUCAAAAAUGUGCCCUAAGCGAUUAGGAAAAUAUAUUAGUGAGGUGUAACAAAUAUAUAUAUUUCCUUUCCUUUUUAAACUUAGUAAUCAAUUAAUAUGAAGGCAACCAAUCGAUUGGUAUAUGUUGCCAAUUGAUUGAGAAUCAUGAAUUGGCCUUAAAAUGUUUUCCUUUUGAGACAACCUCUAGCCUAUAAAUAGAGGUCCCUUACCACUUUCAAAAUCAUCAAGAAUCGUGUUUCAUUUCACACUUCUCACACUCUCUCUAAAAAAUCUCGUUUGUUUGCUUUCUCUCACUAAGAAUUUAGCCAAAGUGCUUUUCGAGAAAUUUAUUUUACGAGUGAGGAAGUUGUAAUUUUAGAAGGCUAGAUUUAUAAUUUCACCAAGGAACUUUUGUUUAUACUACGUUUGAACAUUUUAUCCACUUAUUAUUUAUUUGGGUUCGAAGCUAAACCCGUAAAAAGCUUAUGUUUGGGAUUUGUGUGAUCAAAGUCUCUUAUUUAGGUUCAAGAUUAACCUAUGAUAAAAUAUCAAAGGUUCUUGGUUAUUACAUGAUAAAACAAAGAUUAGUUUAAAGCUUAGCCCAAUAUUAAAAGCUUAUUUUGGUUCAAGAUCAACCUGGUGGUAAAACCUCACUGGUUAUUGGUUACCCAUUAUAAAACCAAGGAUUAGGUUCAAGAGCUCAUCUCGGUGUUAAAAGCUCCCAAAUUUUGUUUGAAACUUGAAGACUAACUACUCUAAGAUUCCUGUGUAAAGGAGACUAACCGCUUCGAUUCACCAUUUGGAAGGAAGACUCACCGCUUCACUCCAUAGUUUGUUGUUUGGUUGGAAGUUAACCAUAAACUUCAUUUUUCCUUGUAUAAGGGGGUUUAAGACUUUAACCUACUAAAAGUUGUUAAGUUUAUUGGAUACUCUCAAGAACAAUUCUUGGGGAGAGGAUUAUAUAUUUUUCUCUUUUAACCGAACCUAUAUAAUUUCAUGUGUCUUCUCUUUUCCCUUAACUCUUUAAUUUAUGCACUUUACAUUCAGCAAGUUUAUUUUUCCACUGCUUAAUCUUAAACACUUUUCUGAAAAUGUUUUUAAACUGUGAUUUUAAAUAUCAAAGUUUUUCAAAAUAAUUUUUUUAUGAAAUACACGAUUCACCCCCCUCUUGUAUGUGAAUGAUUUACCAAAUUAGGACAACUCAAACAUUUUUCUAAAAUCAUCUAUGUGGAUGUGUACCUAUACACCCUUUACCGAAUAUGUGAGUGUUAGGUCUUUAAACUUGAUAUUUGGGUAGAACAAUAUGAAAGCCUUGGAAACAUGCAAUACGGUACUUUGAUGAAGAACUAUCUAAGGAAAUAUCAACUAAUGUUAUCAUAAGGUCUGAAAUCCCUAAGAAACGUCAAUUCCAUAUGAGAAUGCUUGAUCACAAGACACUUGGACAUAUCUUUCUAUUCUUGAUUCUUUGAUGAAGAUUAUUAUAAAAUAUACUUGCUUGAAUAAGUAUUUCCAGAAGGUAAACUUCUUGUUGUAGCCAUGAUGAUGAUAAUAAUAAUGGCAAAAAGUAGAAACUAACACAAGAAUAGAGGAGAGAAAGAAGAUUUGGGAUGCAAAAGAAGGGGUGAGUGAAUAACUUUAUAUAACAUAGUUUCUAAGUCUAUUUUCAUAAGAAAAUCAAUAAAAUAUAAGGAUAUUUUUCCCCAAAAAAAUAUUUAUUUGAAAAUCUUAACAAAACAAGCUCUCUAAUCAAUUAAAACCAAAGCUUGAUCAAUUAGAUCUUCAAAAUAUUAAGAUUUUGCACAUUCUUCAUUAAUAAGAUGAUUUGUUUGAUUUUUGCAUUUUCCUUCUAAUCUAUUGUCCCUAUGGACUAAUUGUUUAUCUCAUGUCUUACUUAUUCCGUCUGGGUCUUGGAUGACUUUGGGCUUAGUUGAUUGCUUUUUGCACCCUUACUCUUCAACAAUGUACCCAUUAGCUAGAUAUUUCAAUUCUUUGAUUUGUAAUCUUGCUAAAGGCUCAUCAAAAUUAAAUCAAAAAUAUGUUAGUGAUAAAAUAAUAUUCACUAAGAAAUAAAGAGACCACUUUCUAGACAAUAUCUCAUGUCUUACUUAUUCCGUCGGGGCCUUGGAUGACUUUGGGCUUAGUUGAUUUCUUUUGGCACCCUUACUCUUCAACAAUGUACCCAUUAGCUAGAUAUUUCAAUUCUUUGAUUUGCAAUCUUACUAAAGGCUCAUCAAAAUCAAAUCACAAAUAUGUUAGUGAUAAAAUAAUAUUCACUAAGAAAGAAAGAGACCACUUUCUAGACAAUUUCCUCAGAGUUUUCCUAUUCAAUUUCCACCAAGUGUUUUACCUUUAAAUCUCAAGAUAUCUUGAUAAAACUCCCCCUCAUGAUAGAAAGAUAGUCCUUUGUCAAAAUUCCAUCUCUACGGAUGUCUUGAUAUGCGAUUUGGAUAAAAAAUGAUCAAUAGUGACACGAUCGUCAAAGAUCCUCAGACUCCUUAAAGCAUUAGGACCAUCGCAUUGGUGAACAUUACCACCAAUACCAAUAACCUAAUCAAUAUUUCUCCAGGACCACUAAGCACAUACUUUCUCUUGUAUACUUAAAGUAUACACAUGUUUUCCACAAAUUUAUCAAAUUAUCAUUUAGUUCAUUUAAAACUACAAAGCAAUCUUGUAGAACAUAUUAAGUUUUCACCUUUGAUACCCAAAUUAUUUUGGAUCCUAGUGUGUUUUUGGUUCUAAAAGGUUUAGGGUUAUUUCCAUUGGAACAUAUUAUAUAAUUUAUAUUGGAAUAAUAAUAAGGCUUUUAUGACAAAAAUUUCACUUAUAGAUCGAACAAUUAGAUUUCUUUCUAUCAUGGCAAAUAUUUUUAUGCGAUCUAAAGGUUUAUAGCCUAAUCUAUUUUUAUUAAAUGAAGCCUUUUGAUUAGAAAUAUUUAAAUAAAGCUUAUAUUUACCCUUAGUAAAUUCCUCUAAGAUUUUAUGCAAGUUGGUUACUUCAUUUUUUAGUGACUUGCAAGAUUCACAUUUAUCUGAUUUUAAGGAUUCACUUAUAAUCAUAGCAAUUUAUUCACCAAGAAUUUUAUUUCCAUUUUCUAAAAAUUCAAUAUACUCUUUAAGAUAAAUAACACCCAUCUUCAUUUUAUAAUUAUCUUUGUUAAGCUUGACAUUGAUCUUGAACAUUUAUUUAUAAGUUAAAGAGGUUAUCCCAAGGUUGUCUUCUCUUAAAGCUUUGAAGCACUUAUGAUCUUCUUUAGCAUAGUUCAUUCUUUGAGAAGACAAUUCAUGAAAGUCUUCUGAUGUAUUGUUGUGUAUAUUUGUGAAUACAUAUUUGCAUGGAUCUCUUGGUUUUUUUCUCUAUUGAUUCAUCUUUGUUGCUCCAUCUUCUUCAUGACACUGGACAUGAGGGAUUAGUAAACAUUCCUCUAAAAUUUGAUAAUUUGCACAAAAAAAUGGAUGUUGUAUCUUCAUCAUCUCUAUUUCCAAAUAUUUUUCUUGUUGAAGCUUCUUCAACUCCUCUACUGGAUGAAGACUCCUUGUAAGAUCGUUCGUUUAUUGUAAUGUUCUUUUAAAGGACAUCUUUGGUGUUUAUCUUUCAUCUUUGAGUAUUCCUAUGGAUGAAGUUGAUGAUCAUGUAGAAGAUGACAUUGAUGAGGAAUAUUAAGAUCUUUUAAGUAUGUUUGAUCUUUCUUCUUUUUCCUUGAGUAUCUGAUUUAACUCCGUGAGUUUCUUGAUGAUAUCCUCCUUUCUAGAUUCUUUCUGAAACACAACAAAAGCACUACUAUCGUGUGAAUUGGAGAUUGAAUCAACUUUCUGAUUCUAGCUCUUAAUUAUUAGAUAGUUGUUAGAUAAAAAAAUUCUAAUAUAGCCUCAAAGGAUUCCAAUGGUUGACUAUCAUCCAUGAAAAUAAUGAUCAUAUUCAUUUGGCAUAUCAACUUCCUGGUUUUGGGUGUUUAUUCACUACAACAAAUAACGCUUUUUAUGACAAAGCUAACACCUCAAAAAAAAAUAAGGGUAUGGGUACUGGGAGCGCCAGGUUUCAUUUAAAAAAAAUGAUAAACAACCAUUUACCUUAGUUUUUAAGAAAAAUGGGAGAAUAAAGCUAUAAUGGAGCUCGCUUCGACACCCAGUUAUUAUAUUUUAUGUUUUUUUCCAGUUGUUUAGUUAGUAUUUCUCAGUUGACACAUUUCCAAGUUCCAUUUGUAUUAUUGUUAUUUUUUUAUUAGUAUUUACCUCGACUACAUAAUCCAACUGAGAGGUAAUAUAUUUUACAUUAAUCAAUUUCCAAAUACUAUUUUCAAAAUAUUAUUUUAAUUUUUUAUUUGAUAUAUUCAAACCUCUCAGUUAUUUAAAAAACCGACGCUAUAUAUCUUUUAAUUGAAUUUCCAUAAUAUGAGAAUUUUUUUUUUAAAUAUCCAAAAAUUUCAAAAAAAUUUCAAAAAUAUCCAAUUUUUCAAAAUAAUUACACAAAUGGCCAAAAUUGGCCAUUUUUUACCCUUAGGCGCCACCCUAGUUGGCGCCUACCCUUAAUGGGGAGGGCAAGUGCCACUAGGGUGGCGCCUAUGCCCAAUCCAUUUUUUUUUUUUUUUUUUUUUUUAAUGUUUUUUUUAAUGUUUUUUUUUUUUUUUAAUUUUUUUUUAUUUAUAAAUUUAUGUUUUUUAUUAAGUUAUAUUUUAUGUUGACACAUAUAUUUUGUCUAAAUUUUUUUAUUUAUAUAUAUAUAAUAUAUAUUAAUAUAUAUAUAUAUUAAUAUAUAUAUAUAUAUAUUAAUAAUUUAUAAGUAAUUAAUAUUAUGUAAAUUUUUGGAAAAAAAAUUAAUUUAUAUAUGUAUAAAGAUAUGAUAGACAAUAUUUUUAAAGAUAAAGAUAAAGAUAAUAAAGAUAAUAAACAGAAAUAUUUUUAUUUAAAUAAUAAAACAAGGCAAAUAUUUACAAAGAUAUGAUUAAUCACAUAUGAUGCGGUCCCUUGUACGAUCCGCACGGGGGAGGUCUAGUUACUCGCCUAGACGGUUCACGUGUGGUGGUGCUCCCUAUUACCACCCCUUGCCCUAACGCGCCCCUUGCCGCUUGCCGUUGUGGUUCGGUCGAAGUCCCUUCAGUCCUGUAGGAAAGACGGGUCCCUCUGCGCCCCUCGAGCUUUGUCUCGGUGGACAAACUGACUACUGCUGGGUGCGCCCUCGAAUUGUGGUCUUUGGUAGUUUAGGGUUGAAUCGGGUUUGGCCAAAGUGCAAUGUUUGUUGUGGUGUGUAGUAGUCCUGUUGUAGUCCUCUUGUAUACGUGUCGGGGCUAAGGUGGAGGACUGGAAGAGCUUGGGAAAUUGCCGUGUUGGAAUUGUGGAUUGGUGGAAGUAGGGGAUUGAUAUGUGGUAGGUGUUGGGACUGUUGAUGGUGGGGAAUGUUGAGUUUGUUGUUGGUAAGUCUUCAUGGUAUUGGGAUUGAGUUGUGGUAUGUAUUGUUGAUGUUGGUUGGGGGUGGACAUGUGUUGUGGUUGUUGUUGUUGGUAAUAUGGUGGUGGUGGUUGUUGUUGGUAAUAAGGUGGUGGUGGUUUGUGUUGGUAAAAUGUGUGUUUGUUGUGUUGUAAUAAGGUGGUGGUUGUUGUUGUUGGGAUACUGUGGUGGUUGUGUUGUUGAAAUAUGGCUGUUGCAUCCGGGGUCGUCCAAAUAGAACGGUCAGACACACAUCAUUUCUGGAUUGGUAUUUGCUCUAUAACCAUCCACAUAUUCCCUUGUCGGCUUCAUUUCGUUGGGCGCCACCGGAAAUUGUAGAACAUAGUGGGCACGGUCUUCCACAUUUUUCGAAACUCCUUAGCAAAUUCCUUCCAAUUUUGGGCAUACCACUGUGGCUGACUUUUUUUAGAUGCCAAAGGUUCCAUGGACAUUGGGGGGCCUGGGAUGUCUUGAUGCAUUCCGAAUUGAAGCUUGACACGGUCACUUUGGUGCAUCUCCACAGUGGGAAACCGCAUUAUGGCCGUUUUUGCUGUCCAAACAGCUGCAUCUUCGGGUUUGGUUGAUGUUCAACCCAAAUAUGGCCUCCAAAUAAACUGCAAGAAAAAAGUAAAUAUGUUAUUUAUCGAUAAUGCAUGACAUUAAUAAAUCAGUUAGAAGUUGAGUGAUUUAGUGGUAAUACAUCCUGUGCUCGGAGACGAUCCAACAGUGACGAUAAAUAUAUUUUAUUUUUGGGGGUAAGACUGUAAUCCAGUCCGGUUGUAAUGAACCUAAACAAAGAAGAAUAAUAAUAUUAGUUACAAAUAUUUAAUAGAAAUAAAUAUACAAAAUGAAAUAAGAUCAUAAAUUUACCUAGUUGCGUAGGGGAAGGAGUAGUCAUAGGAUUUUCUGGGGCUAGCCUCGGCAAUCUCCACCACCCCAUGUUUGAAGCAAAAAAGAACAUCCAGAAAAUGUACAGUGCUCAUUUGUGCAUUUUUACACAAAGAGCUAUAUAGGAAUGCUAAUACUGCAGAACCCCAACUAUAUGUGCUUAUUCUAUCAAUGUCCCCGAGCAAAACUCAAGUACAUAAAAUUUUAUGCUAUUUCCCGUCCGCUCGGGAAAAGCAAGUUCCCAAACAAUAGCAUAAUGUAAACCCGGUUUUUAUGACUUUUUCUUGUUCGGAGGAUUCCUCAAUCAAAGUUAUGGAGUCGUGGUACAAUUGUAGGCUAGAUAAUUUAAUACCCUGACCCUUGCUUUGGCAGACCCCCUCACCCUCGACCAGAUCUACCCCCAACAUUUCAACACAUAUGGUUAGGAUGUUGAACAUUUCCGGUGACAGGCUUACCAUCUAUCUACAGACCUAAAAGCAUGUACACGUCCUCUAAUGUGACGGUACAUUCACCAGUUGGUAGGUGAAAGGUGUGUGUCUCAGGUCUCCAACGUUCACACAGAGCCAAAAUGAAUUUGCAUCAAAUGGUGGCAUUUACGACAUGCAUUACAUGACCGAACCCGCACGCUCUAUGUAAGGUACGACGCAUGGGUCUGGAUAAGGCAUUGGGUGUGAACGUUGACGAAAUUCUUGGGAUCCUUUAAAAACAAACAAUAUAAAAAAUUAUUAUAUUGGACUUUUAAAAAACUAAACUACAAACAUACGGAAAGAGGCAAGCUUCAAGAAAAACUUACGAAUGAGGCAAGGUUUGCCCUAGUUCCUCUGUGUUCUUGGCCCAGUGGUAAGAAAGCGACAUGACUGCAAUGUAGAAGAACUUGGUGGAUGAGAAGUUCGCCUGAGUUCUCUGAAUAAAGUGUUAGUGGUAGAUGAAAACUUGCAAGAAUGACCCUCUAUUUAUACUCUUUUUCAAGUAAACUGAAUAUGCAAAAAUGUGACAAGUGUAAGGCAUGCGUGGUAGUUGUUGGCAUGCAUUGGUGGAAUCUGAUGAUGCAGAAACGUGACAAGGUGAGGCAAUGCGUGGGAACUGCAGAAUGAGGUGCAGACUACGUGCAGUGAUUGGCAUGCAUAGGUGCAGACUAGGUGGGAGUUGUCUUGUCUUGGGGAAGACUUGGUGGAAUCUGAUGAUGCAGAAACGUGACAAGUGUGAGGCAUGCGGGGGAAUCUGCAGAAUAGGUGCAGACACGUGCAGUGUUGCAUGCUUAGGUGCAGACUAGGUGGGAGUUUGUCUUGUCUUGGGGAAGACUUGGUGGAAUCUGAUACGCAGAUACGUGACAAGUGUGAGCAUGCGUGGGAUCUUGCAGAAUAGGUGCAGACUUACGUGGCAGUUGUUGCAUGCUUAGGUGCAGACUAGGUGGAGUUGUCUUGUCUUGGGGAAGACUUGUGAAUCUGAUGAUGCAAAAAUGUGAACAAGUGUGAGGCAUGCGUGGAAUCUGCUCGAUAGGUGUCACAUCUGUACAGGUCAGUAUGAAGUUAAGUGUCACAGAGGAUAGUAGAACCAAUUUAGCUUUGAUAUCCCCCAAUAUAUUUAUUUAACGGUUGAAAUUUGUACUUUCAAAUAUUUAUUAUUGUGGUUGGUAUCGCUUGCUACUUCAAUAUUUUUUCAAAAAGAAAAACAAUAAUUUAUGAUUAUAUGUUCAGUGAUUUUAAAAUUUAUUGAAUAUUUUAUUUAACCUUUUAAAUUUGAAUUUACUUAUUUUAAGUUUCUGUCCAUUGAUUGUUUCUUUAAGAUUUGUCGUAAUUUAUUGUGUUUAUUUUAUAAAUGUAUUGAUAAAUUAUGUCUAUAACUACCUGCAUGGGAUUGGUUGGUUAAUGUCAUUUUGUAUCAUUGAUCUUAUUGUGGUGUAGUUUUGUGUCUAUUCAUAUUUUUUGGUUUGUUUGGUAUCUACUAUGUAUUAUGUUUUGUUCUAUUGCGUGUGAAUUCUCUUGAGACUUGGUUGUUGUUUUGAAUUGAAGCUUUUGAUGGGGAACUAUUGUUCAUGUGCAUUUUGGGAUUUCUCUGACGAUCUUAUGUCUUAGUUGGCAGGUGGUAUAUUUUUGUCUAUCAUGCAUUAGUUACAUUGAUAUGGUGGUGAGUUGUGUCAUUUCAUAUGGUGUGUAAUCGUGUAUAUGGCUUUGCAUGAUUGGGAAUUCCUGAGACUGUGUGUGAUAUGUAGCUUGAUGGGGGAAUCUUAUUGGCAUGCUCUUGGGAAUCUUUCUUGAGAUCUUAUUGUUUCAGUGCUAGGUUUGUGAUAGGUUGAAUGCAUUAGUUACAUGAGUCUAGGUGGUGUACGUGUGCAUUUCUAGAUGGGUGUGAUCACGUGUAAUGGCGUUGCAAGGUAAUUCUCUGAGAUCUUUUGGUGGUUGUUUCAUGUAACUUGUAUGUGGUUGGAACAUGGCUAUGCUAUUGUGUGAUAUCUUCUUUGAGAAUCUUAUGUUCAGUUGUUCUUAGGUGGUAUUUAUGUGUUUGGUUUAUGCAUAGUACAUUGACUAGGUGGAGUUGUGCUAUUCUAAGGGUGUUGACGACUGUGUAAUGUGUCAUUGCUAUGAUGGUGAUAUCUUUAGACUUUUGGUGGUGUUUAGGAGCUUUGUUGGGUGACCAGGUCUUUGCAUGUGGAUAUUCUUCUUACUUGAUGUCAGGUUGCUAGGUGGGUAUUAGUUGUGAGUAUGUCAUUAGUUCUAUGAUCUAGGUGGGUAGUGUUGCUUAUUUUUCCAAUGGUGUUGACCUUGGUAAGACAUUUGCAAUUGUGGAUAUCUUCUGAGUGUUCUUCAAUUCACUUUAUUGCUUUUCAUAGUCAUAUUUCUUUCAUAUCUAAUCAUCAUAUCUCAUCAGCUAAUUUCUCAGUAAGAUUUUUCUUUUGCAUGUAUAUAUAUUAUUUUCUACACCUAUCAUUUUUUCUGCGCAUUAUGUUGUAUUUUUUUCUUUACAAUUUUUUUUUUCUACUAUGCAAUUUCUUCUACUUAAAAUACCUUGGAAAUGUUAUCUUCAAACAAAUACCUUUUUUCAUCUAAUAACCUCUAUCAUGAAUCCUUCUAUUCAAUAUAUCCUUGUCACUUAAUAAUCCUUCAUCAAAACCUUCACAAUGCUUCAACUAUAAACAUGUCAUUUCUCUUAUCACAUUAUUAUUCUAUUAAGUUCAAUUAAGCUCGUUACUUUGUCAAGUUGGUUUGAGACUUUAUGUUACUUGUUGUAUUUAUUUAGUUGUCUGGUUCCUAUUUUAGAUAACCUUUAUCCUGAUAUGCUACUUCUGGUGUCUAAAUAUUUGUAGGAGGUUGUACUUUCUUAUCUGUUUAUGAAAGUUUGAAGAUGAGGUCCUAAAUUGCUUAAUGAAAUUCUGCGUUCCUCUAAUAUUUUUUUUUUAUUCAACACUGUCUUUUUUUUUUUCAAACAUCAAUCGGCGAUCUUGGUUUGAUGUUAUGUCAUUGAUUUUUCAUAAUAUGACUUAUGGAGACUCUCAUUAUACUAAUGCUUCGUUAUCAUAGUACUCUUGGUUUGUACGUUUUUGUGACGUACAUAGGUGUUUGGUGUUACUUAUUUUUGGAGACUUAAUCCUCUAAUUUUCCAAUUUCUUUUUCAGAAUUUAUUCAAGUUCUUACGUUGAGGUUAUUUUGAUCCUGGUGAUUGAUGACUGAACAAGUGUUUGUUUUUUUUGGUGUUUUUUUUUUUUUUUUUUGUUUUUUGUUGUUUUUUUUUUUUUUGUUUUUGUUUGGGUUUUUGUUUGUUUUUUUUUUUUUUUUUUGUUCUUUUUGUUUUUUUUUGUUUGUUUUUUUUUUUUGUUUUAUUUAGUGUCUUGAGUGUCACUCGACUUUGUUGGUGGUGGAAUGACGAUGUUGUUGAUGGUUCUUUUUUUUUUUUGUUUGUUUUUUUGUUUUUUUUGUUUUGUUUGUGUUUUUUUGAUGAUUUUUUGAGCUUGUGUGGUUUGUAUUUAGUUUUGACUUUGGGAAUAUCCCGGCAGGGUCGGAAAGAGCGAAGAUCUAAUCUUCGAGUAUAUACCUAUUUAUUUUUUUAUUCUGCAUUUACGCUAUUUUUCACUUUCUCGUUCUGUUCGCUAUCUUCACAUAUCACUUAAUUUUCUGGGACUGAUUGAUGAUGUCUCCUUUUGUUUUCGAUCAGAUAUUGUUCUUAUAUUUUUCAUACCUCAAUAUAUGAGGUCUGAUGAGGACUUAAAGAAAGGGUGACCAAUUCGGACCAAAGGAAGAGUGUCUGUUAGCAAUAAAGAACUGGCACUUGAAAAAUUGUGUUGACUACGAUGUAUCAAAUCAAAUCCGGAAAGAUACGUAAUUGAAUGGCAAAAAUCCGAGUGUGGAAUAUAGGUUAUGGCAUCGUACAAAGAAGAAAGCUAACGCGUGGGUGAUAGGGUCAAUAUCUCAAGCUCACAUUUGCGUCACACCAACAUGGCACAGGAUCAUCGCAAACUUAGCCAGCACUGCUCUGCCAUUCCAUAUUACCUCUAGUUGAGGCUUGACCCGUCACUGAAGGCAAAACAAUUAUUCUGCCAUUGUGUGGCUGUUUUCAAAUAUACACCCGUCAUACAGAAAGGCUUGUUAUCAAAAACCAAGGCCAAUUGAACUGGUGUACGGUAACUGGGAGGAAUCAUACAAACAACUACCACGCUACCUUGGCUGCACUACGAUUGUAUUCACCUCUGGGACGGUUACUAUAAUGGAAGACCUUGCCUGCACAAUCCCCUGACGGAACUCGUCUAGAAGGUAAUGGAAUUUUCCCAUAGACUUUUCUGGGCAUUUCCGUCCAUGCAUCAUCGGUUCACAUUCUGCAAACCACUUGUUCAAGCGUCGAUGGAACUUGGCUGUAUGGGAAAUACAAAGGAUCGUUACUGAUGGCGGUCGCACAAGAUGGCAAUUCAAAUUUUUCCCAAUACCUUUGCAUUGGUGGAAGGAGAAACGGCAGCUGGUUGGAGUUUCUUUCCUUAAGAAUCUUCGAACGCACGUGACUCCACAAGCUGGCAUCUGCGCGUUAUUUUGACAGGCACGCCUCAAUAGACAGUGCAUACAAUAAUCCAGCAAAUGGCUGGCAUGACCCCCCGUCUACCCAUGUCUACUGCAUCAGGCAUAUUGCACAAAAUUUUAUGCGGGAGUUCAAGGAUAACUUUUUUAAGCAACAUUUGAUAAACGCGGGGUACGCAUUAAACCAGCCUGGAUUCCAAUACUAUCGCCGGAAAUAGUGUUGGCAAAUUCUGAUGCAGGGAGGUGAUUGAUAAUAUCGACAGAGCGAAGUGGACUAGAUCGUACGACGAUGGGGUGAGGUGGGGCCACAUGACAACAAAUCUUGGGAAUCAAUGAAGGCGUGUUUAAGGGGCAUACGUAACCUCCCGGUAACCGCAUGGUGAGUGCGACCUAUUUUCGGAUGCAACGUUGUUCGUAACAAGGGGCAGGCGCUGAAUGAAGUGUUGCAGACGGAGUCAGGUUUAUAGUGAAGCCUGCAUGAAGUUUAUGAGGCAGGAAUCCGCCAAAGCCAGCAGCCAUCGGUUACGGAGUUCGACCGCCAUGGCACACUUUCAUGUCAAGGAAACAAUUGACCACAACAAGGGCUGCCCAGCAAGAGUAUGGUCCUAAUACCAGACCGUUGGUGCGACUGUGGUCAAUUUCAGGCGUAUCGUAUGCCUUGUUCCCAUGUCAUUGCAGCGUGUUCACACAGCCACUUCGAUGCAUUAUCGCUAGUGUCUCACAUCUACAAAGUUGCAAAUUGCUCAAUGUAUACGACAAUCCCUUUCCGUGGUAGCAUUGGAGGCGUAUUGGCCAGAGUAUGACGGGGAAAUUGUUUGGCACAACGAAUCGAUGCGGCGGAAUAAAAGUGUCGCCCAAAUAGCAGGCGCAUUAGAACUGAAUGGACGUUGCAGAGAAAAAUGCAGAGGAAGUGUAGCAUAUGUAACAACUAGGGCAUAAUAAGAACAAAUGUCCAUAUCGUGGAUCUAGUUCCACAACUUAGUUUUCACUUUCAUAAAUCUGUGUACCAAAAUCAUUUUAAAUUAAAGUUUACUUUUAUUCCAAAUAGAAGAUGACACCUUGAACAACAAACNNNNNNNNNNNNNNNNNNNNNNNNNUUGAAAUUUGACUUUCAAAUGAUUUAUUAUUGGGUGUACGCGGUCACUUUCAAAUAUUUUCAAAGAAAAAAACAAAUAUAAUAUUGUAAUUAAAUUAUUUUAUGUUUUAUUACAACUUUAAAUUGAAUACUUCAUUUAGUUACGCCAUACUAAUUGGCGUAUAUGUGUUAUAAAAGUAGAAAAAGUCCAAAACACCUGCAUGGAUAGUGUGAAUGCAUUAGUACAGACUAGGUGGAGUGUUGCAUUCAAGGGUGUGACACAUGUAAGGCAUGCUGGGAAUCUCUGAGACUUGGUGGUGAAGACAUUGAUGGGGAACAGGCAUGCAUGGGAAUCUCUGAGACAUGUUCAGGCUAGGUGGGAUAGGUUGGAAUGCAUUGUACAGACUAGGUGGGAGUGUUGCAUUCAAGGGUGUGACACGUGUAGGCAUGCAAGGGAAUUCUCUGGACACUGGUGUGAAGACUUGAUGGGGAACAGCAUGCAUGGAAUCUCUGAGACUAUGUUCAGGCUAGGUGGAUAGGUUGGAAUGCAUUAGUACAGAACUAGGUGGAGUGUUGCAUUCAAGGGGUGUACACGUGUAAGGCAUGCAAGGGAAUCUCUGAGACUUGUGGGUGAAGACUUGAUGGGAACAGGCAUGCAUGGAAUUCUCUGAGACUAUUGUCAGGCUAGGUGGAUAGGUUGGAAUGCAUUAGUACAGACUAGGUGGGAGUGUUGCAUUCAAGGUGUGACACAGUGUAAGGCAUGCAAGGAAAUCUCUGAGACUGGUGGUGAAGACUUGAUGUGGGAACAGGCAUGCAUGGGAAUCUCUGAGACUAUGUCAGGCUAGGUGGAUAGGUUGGAAUGCUAUAGUACAGACUAGGUGGGAGUGUUGCAUUCAAGGGUGUGACAACGGUGAGACAUGCAAGGGAAUCUCUGAGGUAUUCACAAUAUCUUCACAGCAAUCUUCACACACAUAUCUUCACAGCAAUCUUCAGUAAGAAUUCUUGCAGAUAUAAUAUUCACACACAUUUUCGCAAAGGUAUUCACAAUAUCUUCACAGCAAUCUUCACAAAACCUUGAAAAUAUCUUCACAAAAACCUUCACAAAACCCUCACAAAACCUUCACAAAACCUUCACAAAACCUUCACAAAACCUUCACAAUGUCUUCACAAAACAUGUCAUCUUCUUCACAAUACAAAGUCAAAGCUCACGUCAACGGUGAGACUUAUGAAUGUGAUAAGUCUGGCUUCCUAUUUAGAAACCACCGAAUGCACUCGUUUUGUCUAAAUAGAGGAGCUGACUUCUCUUAUCUGAAAAGGAAGAUUGAGUCCAAACUAAGACAACCCGCUGUCCCAAAUUUUUUAUCAACAACCUUUUUUUUCAGAAAACAACUCUGUCCAAGUUUUAUAAGUCAUUGAUUCAAAAUGACAUGGAGACACAAUACAUGCUUCGUAACCAUGAGGUACUCUGGUUACGACUACAUAGUGUUUGUACAUUAUGUUGGAACAACCUCAACCAACUCAGAAUAUUCAAUCACAGGUUAUUGAUCCUGUGAUUGAUGAACAACAAGAUGCUGAGCACCACGUUGAAGACGAUGUGGUGAUGAUGCUGAAGACUGGUUGAUGACUUGGUGAACCGUCAUUCUGAAGACGAAGACCAACCUCAAAUACCUAUAGCGCAACGCUACUCACACUCCUGCGCACUUCACAACACUAACUUGGGCGAGGAUAACUCAUCAGAUAUGUUCUACAACCCAUAUAUGAGGUCUGAUGAGGACUUAAAGAAAGGGUGACCAAUUUCGGACCAAAGAAGAGUGUCUGUUAGCAAUAAAGAACUGGCACUUGAAAAAUUGUGUUGACUACGAUGUUAUCAAAUCAAAUCCGGAAAGAUACGUAUUGAAUGCAAAAAUCCGGAGUGUGAAUAUAGGUUGAUGGCAUCGUACAAGAAGAAGCAUAACGCGUGGGUGAUAGGGUCAAUAUCUCAAGCUCACAUUUGCGUCAACAACCCAACAUGGCACAGGAUCAUCGCAACUUAGCCAUGACAUGAUCUGCCAUUCCAUAUUACCUCUAGUUGAGGCUUGACCCGUCACUGAAGGUCAAAACAAUUAUUCUCCCAUUGUGUGCUGUUUUCAAAUAUACACCGUCAUACAGAAAGGCUUGGUUAUCAAAAACCAAGGCAAUUGAACUGGUGUACGGUAACUGGGAGGAAUCAUACAAACAAACUACCACGCUACCUGGCUGCACUACGAUUGUAUCACCUGGGACGGUUACUAAUAAUGGAGACCUUGCCUGCACAAUCCCCUGACGGAACUCGUCUAGAAGGUAAUGGAAUUUUCCAUAGACUUUUCUGGGCAUAUCCGUCCAUGCAUCAUCGGGUUCACAUUCUGCAAACCACUUGUUCAAGUCGAUGAACUUGGCUGUAUGGGAAAUACAAAGGAUCGUUACUGAUGGCGGUCGCACAAAGAUGGCAAUUCAAAUAUUUUUCCCAAUAGCCUUUGCAUUGUGGAAGGAGAAACGGCAGCUGGUUGGAGUUUCUUUCCUUAAGAAUCUUCGAACGCACGUGACUCCACAAGCUGGCAUCUGCGUUAUUUCUGACAGGCACGCCUCAAUAGACAGUGCAUACAAUAAUCCAGCAAAUGGCUGCAUGACCCCCCGUCUACCCAUGUCUACUGCAUCAGGCAUAUGCACAAAAUUUAUGCGGGAGUUCAAGGAAACUUUUUUGAAGCAACAUUGAUAAACGCGGGUACGCAUUAAACCAGCCUGGAUUCCAAUACUAUCGCGCGGAAAUAGUUUGGCAAAUUCUGAUGCAGGAGGUGGAUUGAUAAUAUCGACAGAGCGAAGUGGACUAGAUCGUACGACGAUGGGGUGAGGUGGGGCCACAUGACAACAAAUCUGGGAAUCAAUGAACGGCGUGUUUAAGGGCAUACGUAACCUCCCGUAACCGCAUGGUGAGUGCGACCUAUUUUCGGAUGGCAACGUUGUUCGUAACAAGGGGCAGGCGCUGGAAUGAAGUGUUGCAGACGAGUCAGGUUUAUAGUGAAGCCUGCAUGAAGUUUAUGAGGCAGGAAUCCGCCAAAGCCAGCAGCCAUCGGGUACGGAGUUCGACCGCCAUGGCCACACUUUCAUGUCAAGGAAACAAUUGACCACAACCAAGGGCUGCCCAGACAAGAGAUAGGGUCCUAAUACCAGACCGUUGGUGCGACUUUGGUCAAUUUCAGGCGUAUCGUAUGCCUUGUUCCCAUGUCAUUGCAGCGUGUUCACACAGCCACUUCGAUGCAUUAUCGCUAGUGUCUCCAAUCUACAAAGUUGCAACAUUGCUCAAUGUAUACGACAAUCCCUUUCCGGUGGUAGCAUUGGAGGCGUAUUGGCCAGAGUAUGACUGGGGAAAUUGUUUGGCACAACGAAUCGAUGCGGCGGAAUAAAAGUGGUCGCCCAAAUAGCAGGCGCAUUAGAACUGAAUGGACGUUGCAGAGAAAAAUGCAGAGGAAGUGUAGCAUAUGUAGACAACUAGGCUAAUAAGAACAAAUGUCCAUAUCGUGGAUCUAGUUCCACAACUUAGUUUUCACUUUCAUAAAUCUGUGUACCAAAAUCAUUUUAAAUUAAAGUUUACUUUUUAUUCCAAAUAGAAGAUGACACCUUGAACAACAAACACAAACAUUCUAACAUACAACACCAAUUACUAAAACAAAACAAAUACUGGAACAAAAACAAGUACUAAAACAAAGAACAAGUACUAGAACAAUAACAAAUACCACAACAACAUGACAAACAACCAUUAAAAUCUAAGAAAUUUACAAACAGUUAACACUAUGUCGUCUGAUCCAUGCAUCAUUUGGAUGCAAUCAAUGUCGCUUUCAACUCAACCACCAGCGUAUCGUUUCUCCAGUUUCAAAUGAGAACCUUGUUCUAAGCCUCUGAAUCCUUCUGAUGACUUCACCAGGUUGGAAUCUCCCUCUAACCAAGACAUCAAGGACCUUUUUAGUUGGUCCACGAACGGAUGUUCCAAAUUUCAUCUCCAUGGGGGUUUCAAAGGCGAGAAAAUAACAUGCCAUCCCUUUUUAAGAUUACUGGUUCAGGAUCGGCCGCCUUGAUGAUGUCGCUGCCAUGACGACGGUCUUGGGGAUCCAUGAACUCAACUUGAUACAGAAAGUGGUACGAAACAGUGUUGAAGAAAAUGCAAGGAAAUAACAAUUUAUUUAUAGGAAAAAGAUCUGGUUGUACACCAGUCUACCUAACCCUAAUUCUCCCAAAAAUUUAUAAAUAAUAUUAUUUACUAUAAAAUUAAAUUAAUAUAUAUAUAAAUUAAUAUAUAUAUAUAUAUAUAUAUAUUAUAUAUAAUAUAUAUAUAUAUAUAUCUUGUAAAUAAAUAUUUAUAUAUAUUAAUUAAAUGUUAUAAUAUUAAUUGUUUAUAAAUUAAAUUAAUAUAUAUAUAUAUAUAUAAUUUAAUAUAUAUAUAUAAAAUUAAUAUAUAUAUAUAUAUCUUGUAAUAAUUUUAUUAUAUAUAAUGUUAAUAUAAAUUAAUAUAAUUUAUAAAAAAAAUAUAUUUAUCAAAUAUCUAAUAUUAAAAAAAAAUUAAAAAAAAAAAAUUAAAAAACAUUUAAAAAAAAAAAAAAAAAAAAAAAAAAAAAAAAAAGGAUGUGGCAUAGGCGCCACCCCUAGUGGCGACUUGCCCUACCCAUUAAGGGUAGGCGCCAACUAGGGUGGCGCCUAUGUACACAAUUAGGGCAAAUUUUGCCCAUUUGUGUAAUUUUUUUGAAAAAUGGGUUAAUUUUGAAAAUUUUUUUAAAAUUCUGGAUAUUUAAAAAAAAAAUUCAUAAUAUGACGCUAUUGUGUUUUUUAUAUCUUAUAUUUUUAAUUAAUAUUGUCACGUCGAAUUUUAUAUAAAACUGACGUGACACGUAUAUUGCAUGAAAUACUUCAGACUACAAUCUAGCUAGUUUCUAACUUUUCAUUUACCUAUCAACGCUCAAACAUCAUUUUGUCACUCUCAUUUCGCAAAAACCCUAGGUGAUUUUCAAGCUGAUAUUCAUAAAAACUCUUCCAACAGAUAUUCAUAAAACGUCAUUUUCACAACAUGUUUGUUCUUCACUGAAACGAGUUAUAUAUCACUUUGUUUUUCACUGAUCAUUUUGCCUAGGUUUUGCGUCAGUUCGUCUUUUGAUCAUUUUGUUUCUACGAUUUUCCAUUUGUUUUUAUUGAAACAUUAGUUAAUAUAGUUUAUCUUUAUCAUUUUGAGGUUUAUUUAGAUAAUCAUUUCGUCAACAAAUAUAAUUUUUCAACAGGUUUAUUCUUCACUGAAACGAGUUAUAUAUCAUUGAAACGAGUUAUAUAUCACUAAAAUGAGUUUAUAUCAUUUUGUUUUUCACAGUUUGUCUCUUGAUCAUUUUGUUUAUAUGUAUUUGUAUCUUGAUAGUCAUGGUCGAUUUGACAAGAACCUCUCAUAUAACAUCUGGUGCAACAUCUGUUAAUACAAAUCAUAGAAGAAAAACUAGAGGUGGCAUGAUGUAUACCAAGGUGAAAAAAGCCCACGAAACCGGUGUUCGCUACCCAGUUAUAGUUGAUGCUGCAACCGACAAGGCUUAUGGUGAAAACAUUGAUGAUUUUAUGGCUUACAUUGCAUUACAAGAUAUAGUUAAUGUGAGCAUUUUGAUAUAUAGUUGGCACGAUGUUGAAGAGGACUUGAAAGACGCCAUAUGGGAAGAUGUUCAAGUAUUUUAUGAUUUGUUUGCAUGAUGUUGAUAGAUAGUUGACACGAUGUUGAAUGACUGACAUAUUGUCUUGUAUAUAUUAUCAUUUAUUUUUUGUUUAAUACUAAUAACUUCUCUAUUAUGUAAACAUAUGAAGUGUUCAUUGUUAGUCCAAAUGAUAAUAAUGUGAAAAAGAAGAUGCUUACAUAUUAUGGUGAGCGUUGGAGGGGUUUUAAGACACAACUCACCUAUGAUUAUAUUAAACAUGGAGAAGAUAGAGAAAAGCCUCCAUACAAUGUGUAUUCAUAUAUUGAUCAAGAUGUUUUGGAGAAAUUUGUAGAGUUUCACAACACUCUUUCCUUCUUGGCAAAGAGCCAAAAAGGAAAGGAAAAACGAGCUAGAAAUAUAUAUCGAAAACUUGAAAAGAAGAUGAUGGAAGAAAAAGAAAACAAAGGAAGGAAGAGCUGGGAGGUUCUCUAAGUCUUGAUCACACUCCAUCUCCACCAUCACACUAUGAGAAAUAGAAGAGGGCACAUCAAAGAAAAGACGACGAGUUCACAUCAGAUACUACGUGCGAAGUGGCUCAAAGGAUUAUAAGUAGAUAAUUUUUUCAAUAAUUUUAUUUUAGUUAAAUCAAUUUGUUAAAGAUUAAAUUUUAUAUGUGUUGAAGGAUGAUCUGGUUGAACAAACCGAAGUCAGCCUCUUCACUUCACAAGAUUGUCAUGACAUCUUGGUAGAAGCGAUUGGAACCGAGGAGCAUAUUGGGCGUGUAUGUGGUCUUGGAAGAGGCUUUGGCUUCAAGGUAUACUUUGGACCAUCUAAAUCUUCUAGAGAGAAAACCUGUAAAAGAGAGAUUAAAGAGAUUGUUGUUGUUGAGUUGGAGAAGGAAAGGGAGAAGCAAAAUAGGAAGUUGGAGGAUGAGAGGAAGAGGUGGGGGAAGAGUAGGAUAUGAAGAAGUUUGAGGGGGAGCAGAAGAGGUGAAGGGAGGAGCAUGAUAGGAGGUUGGAGGAGGAAAGGGAGAGGUUGUUGCAGACAGUGUGGGAGAGUUUCCAUAAGGAGCAGGAGGAGCGAGAGAGGAUGAUUGAGGAUAAGGUAUUUGAGAAGUGUACCUGCAAUGUGCUUGAGGUAUAAGUUGUUGUUAUUAUUAUUUGCGUAUUUUAAUUUUGGAUUGUAUUUAUGUUGUUUUUGUGAUGCAUAAAUUUAUUUUUUUAGGUCUAUUAAGCUACACAAAUUCAAAUCAGUUGAAAAUUUGAGAGAAUGAAGUUCAUAAAGUUAUGUGUCAUACAAGCGCGAAAGAAAGUUUUUCUGCCAACCAGGGCAGUAUUGAACCCACAACGUCAAAAGUAGAUAAUAGUGAGAGAGUAGGAAUAAUCAUUGACAGUAUUCCAGACUCAUGCAUGUGUAUUAUAUUAAGUCAUUAUCCAACUCAGUUAGUCGUACUUUCUAGGAUUUAUGUCCAUGAAUUUUUGUCGGGAAAUAUGUACCUAGAUAAUUCCGUAUUACAAAUUUGGUUCUUGUAAGUAUAGUUUUUAUGUUGAUCUCUAUUUAGAUUCUUACGUUCUCUCACUUUAACAUAAAGGUUUGCUCUUGCAGGUACCUCUAUGAGUUAUGUGUUGAAAGGAAAUUUCAAAACAAGUAUUGCAUCUUAGAUUCGGCGCAUAUUGGUCUUACUCGCGGUUCGACAGGGAAACAAUAUCCUUCUUUACUUAAAAGAUAAGUUGAAAGGGAACAUCAAAGAUUGUUAUUUGACCCUGUUUUACCGCAAGUAAGUAUAUAUUAAUUUUUGUUUUCAUUUACAAAUUAAUUUUAUACAUAUUAGUUAUUCUGAAUGUUUAUGCAGUUCGCAUUGACAACUAAUUAUUAUAUGUCCCAAGAAAAAUACUAUAAUUGUGUUUUGCUCGUUGCACUCUGAACUGUCAGAAGAAGUGGUUAACGCUUUGAAUGGGUAAGUAGUAUUAUUUUUAACUUUAGAGUUGAAUCAUUUUUAUUCAUGUUUAAUUUUAACCGACACGUGUAGAGCGACAGAGGAGUAUAAUGUACUCAAACAUAAUAUACUUGGUAAAAAGCCAAUCUAUGUUUCCCCAAAAGUAAGUAUAUUACUUGUGUUUUUUGACAUUAUAUUAUUUGUGUGUAUUAGUGUGAUAUAAACAUAUGAAAAUUAUUUAUAGUGGCGAAAAUAACCAGACAACCUUUCAUGUGGAUACUAUGUUAUAAGAUAUAUGCUCUAUAUUGUCUCCAAAAGCAUUACAAAUGGAUGGAUGAAACAUAAGGUAUUAACUUAAUCCAUAUAUUCUUAAUUUCAUGUUGUUGUGUUUAGCUUAUCAUAAUUUAAUUUUUGUUCUAAUUAUAGGAGUUUAACAACAAAACACCGUACUAAAAAAAAGAUAUGGAUGAUAUCUGAUCAUGUUGGGCCAGAGUCUUUUUAUCUUGUUAUGAUUCUCUAAAACAAUAGUUUUAUUGGGUUGUAAAUGUAUAAAUUUCCUUAAUUUGUUUUGUGCAAAUAUGUAAAUGUGUGUAUUUUGUCUUGAUGAUGCGAUAUAUUUCAAUUCUGUCGCAUAUUUUGUAGUUUUUGUGUAAAAAAUGAUACAGACAAAUGAAACUAAGAUUUAAAACAAUGUAAAUCUGGUAUUCAUUGGUUAAUAGAUUUAUAAUUAUAUGAUACACGCCAGUGAAAAUGAUACAUGCAAAAUUAUGUAGGCUAGUGAAAAUGAUACAAACAGAAAUGAGAUUUUAUCCCCCGGUUAUUACUUAAAACCGAGGUAAAUGAAUAACUCAUUACCUCAGUCUUUAAAUACAACCGAGAGGUAUAUGACGCAUGCAACAAAAUUUAGAAAUUAAAAAAUACGUGGUUGGUGGGGAUCAAACUCAUGACCUUUUAAUUUCUUACCUCGGUUUUAGAAACACCAAGGUGACAAGUGAUUGAUUUUCAUGUCGUCUUUCGUUACCUGCCUCUGUAGCCGAGGUUAAAUGCAUUUUGCGACCGAUGUUAGAUGUGUUAUUUGUAGUAGUGAUUCUCUCUAUUCGCUAUUUAGAGAAUUAAACACACAUUAAUUCAACACUUGAUUUAAUUCAUCUUUUACAAAUAAUUAUUCAAAGGUGUAAGUGUUUUAAAUUUGAUACUUGGGGCGAACAAAUAAUUAUUCAAAGGUGUAAGUGUUUUAAAUUUGAUACUUGAUACUUGUAGAAGGUGACACAUGAGUUUCGAGUCGCCCAUUUAUCCGAUAAAUCGCUUAUUAAUUAAAUGUGUCACCGUUCUAUUGAAUAUUCUUCCUUCCUCAAGGAUAAGUCGUCUGAUGUGGGAACUGAGGAGUGACAUGUCCUCACCCUAUAAUAACAUGGAGGAAGUCGUGGGGUAGUGAAUCACACUCCUCUGAAAACCAGAAGAUAAACCAUUCAUUUUUUCAAUGGUUGUUAUUUCUAAGGAAGUCUUGAAUCCAAGUCCAAUGUGGUUAAAAAUACCUCAACACUAAAAUUGAGAAGGUUAACCUAACUCUUUUUUUUACUAAAAAAAAAACCUUACUUGAACACCAAAAUACACACGUAGAGAGCUUCUCAAUCUCAUAACAAACCUUAAACUCUCCUACAUCUCUUUAUCAGUAGAGAUUAUCACGCAUUUAUAUUGUAAAAUACACUAAAAAAAGUGUUUUUAGCUGGGAAUUAAAACCCCUUACUAAUGCAAAAAAAUCCAUCAUAAAACAAAAAUUUAUGAGGGGAUAUGACCCCUAGCUAAACAAGACAUUACAAUAAAUAGCUAGGAAAUAAGCCCAUCGCAAAACCAACUAAGAAAUAAGUCCAUCGCUAAAUGUAACUCAUAAAUUUCAGUCUACUACACUACAGGCGCAGGAACAGACUAGUGGCACAAACGUGUCAGUAUUUGUUAGGGGAUAAACCUCUAGCAAAUACAUCUAUGUUUUUCUUUUUGUGAGGGACAAAAUCCCUAGCUCAGGGUGUUGCUUAUAUAUGCUUUGGAAUUUGUGAGGUGAUUAACCCCUCAUAAAUAUAAUAAUAUAAUUAUAAUAAAAUACCAUCAAUAUAAUACUAAUAAUUAUAAUAAAAUAUCAUUAAUAUAGUUAUAAUACCAUUAAUAUCAUUAAAAUACACUUGCAAAUAUCUAUUAUCACUAACUUUUUUGAAAAGACAGAUAAUAACAUAUAUUAUACACUUACAAAUAUCUAUUAAUUAUCCAUUUUAUUAAACAUAUACUUUUAAAUAUAUACCCUUCAAAUAUAUUACUAAAUGAUUUAUAUCACAUAAUACUAAAUAUAUAUCACAUUAUACUUGAUAUUUUUAAAAUAAUUUAUAAAUUGUAAUUAUGUUUACUAAAAUAUAUUACUAAAUAAUAAUAAAUCUAUACUACUUUUUAUAUUAUUUUUAUUUAUUUUCAAAAUAUAACUUAUACUAUUUUCUUAAGUAUUAUUUAAAAAUUAAUAAUUAAAAACAGUAUAUAAUAUAAAAAUAAAAUAACAUUUUCUUAUAAUAUUAUUUAUCAAAUAAUACUUAAUAUUUCCAAAAAGAAAUUAAGUGUUAUGUUUACUAAAAUAAUACUAAAAUAUAUUACUAAAUAAUAAUAAAUAUAUACUAUUUUUUAUAUUAUUUAUUUUUAUUUUUGAAAUAUUAUUUAUAAUAUUUUAAAAGGUAUUAUUUUGAAGAUAAUAUUAUAUAAUAAAUAAUAAUAAAUUUUAUUAUUAUUAAAAAAUGAUAUAUAAAAGCAGUAUGUUAUAUAAUAUAUAAAUAAUAUAUUAUUUUAAAAAUAAUAUUAAUAUAAUACAUAAUAUAUAAUAUAUAAUAUAUCACAUUAAUAAGCAAUACUAAAUAAUAUUUAAUAUAUAAAAGUAGUUAUAUAUAAGCCGUAGAUUUUAAAAGCAGUAUAAAUAAAUAUAUAAAACUAGUAUGAUAUAUAAUAGUAAAAAUACUAAAUAAAUAUAUAAAAUUUUGUAUGUUAAAUAAUAUAUAAAUAAUAUAUUAUUUUUAAAAUAAUAUUACCAUAAUAUAUAAUAUAAAAUAUUAUUUUGAAAAUAAUACAUAAUGUAUUAUUUCUAUCAACUAUUAAUAAAUAUUAACUAAUAUUCAACAAAUAACAAAAAAUAUUUCGAUUUAAAAAAAAAUAGAGAAGAAAUAUGUAUCUUUGGAUAAAAAAUUAAAUAAUUCUAAACUUUUAAUUUUACUCUCCUUGCAAAAGUUAAAAUCUUUAUAGGAAAAAUGGAAAAUGAACAAAAUAAAUUAAAAUUAGGGAUUUCAUAUAUUUCAAAAAUCAAAAGAAAAAAAACAAAUAAAAAAGUUAUAAAAUUAUCUUUCAAAAGACAAAUUUAUUGAAGAGUUUUUGAUGAAAAAUCUGAGUUUGAUGAUGGAAGAGUGAGGUUAAUGGAGUGAAUUUGAGCGAAAAUGAAAAAUCAAAGAAAAAGAAAGAGAUGAUUUGAAGCGGUGAAGGUAAAAAUGGAAAAUUUGGUUCAAAUAUAUGGAAAUAUUUUGUGAGGGGCUCUCAACACUAAUUAAAGUGUCAUAAUUAACUAGGAACAACCCCUCACAAAUUACAAUUCCUUUGAGACAAUGUGCAGAAAAUAUAUGGCUAGGGGAUGCCCAUUACAGGUGUGCAUGAAUUCCAUUUAAUAUGAAUCAAUCUAUUUUUAUGAUUAUGGUUUAUAAAUCAAACCACUUCUCACAAAAACAAAUUAAAAAUUCCAAACCAGUUUCGAACAGGUUUAAAACCGAUUUUAAAUUGAUUUUGAUUUUAAUCAAAAUUAUUUAAUUUAAUUUAAAUUUUAUUUUCUUUAAAUUAAUAUUAAUUUUUAAAUUGAAAAACAUAAACAAAUUUUAUGAGGUUUUAAAAUAUUUUUCUUUUAAAAUUUAAAAAACAUUCAAAAAACAAUUUUAAAAAAAUAACAAAUAUUCAAAAAAAAAAGAAAAAUAUACAUAUAAAAAAAUUGAAAACAAUCAAAUUAUAUCCUAAAAAUGAAAAAAGUAUCUUAAAAAAUAAAUUAUUUCAAAAAAUAAAAAUAACUUAAUAGAAUAUAUCAAAUUACAAAAAAACAAUUUUAAAAAAUAAUAACAAAUAUUCAGAAAAAAAAAUAUAUACAUAAUAAUAUAUUAAUAUAUUAGAAUAUAUUAUAUAAUAUUAAUAUAUAAUAUAUAGGUAUCGUAUAACACAUAUAGGUAAUAUACAUUAUGAUAUAGAUAUAUAUAUAUAUAUAUAUAUUCCAAAAAAUAAAAAAUAACUGAAAAAAAUUAUUUAAAAAAAAUGGAAAUCGAAAAUAAAAAAAAAUCGGAAAAUAAAAAAUAGUUUCUAUUAUGAAAUUACAAAAAAUUAUUUUUUUAAAAUCUUUUUUUUUUGAAAUAAAAGUUUUUUUAUUCUGAAAAUUUGAAAAAAUAACCUUUUUGAAAAUUAAAAAAUUUUAUUUAAAAAAAAUCUCAAUCUUUUUACUGAAAAAAAUACAAAAAAAAAAUGAUUUUUUUUUAUUUAGAAGAAAAUAAUAAUUUUAUUUGAAACAAAAUAUCAAAUAUAAUUUUUCCGAAAAAAAAUUAUGAAUAUAAUAUUUUUCGUGAAAAGAAAAAAAAAUUCUGAAUUUUAUUUUUAAAAUAUUUUUUUUUAUGAAAUUUAAAAAAUUUAAAAUAUAAAAUUAAUUUAUAAUGUGAUAAAACAUGAAAAUAGACAAAUAUAAAAAUUUAACGAAUAGUAAAAUUUGAAUAUCCAAUAAUAAAACCAAAUUUGUAUAAUGAGUAACGGUUUAUAUUUGGAUAACAAAAUGGAUACUUAAAUUUUUAUUUUAGAGUUUGGUUUGGUUUCUUAAAAGUAGAACAAUUUGGAUAUCAAUUUGGUUAUGAAUAACCGGUUUUUUUGCACACCUCUAGUGUCUAUCGCAAACGUAAUGGAAAUAUUUAGUUAUGGGGUACCCUUCUCAAAUGUUAUCACAUCUAUUAAAGUGAUUGACGUAAGAUAGAUGUAAUGGUAGUCUGGUCUCAAAAUUUGCAUGGGAUUGCGUCUCACAAAAUUUAUUCAAUCUAUUAGUUAGGGAUGUCCCUUCAUAAAUGAUCAAUUUCAAAAUUCAAAAUCUCUUUCUUUAAUAUUUGUGGGGGAUUAUCACACACCAUUUGUUUAUUAAUUUUGUUUUUAAUUUUACGUAUUGUGAGGGAAUAAACUCCAAACACUAUAAAAAUUUAGUAUGGAGUCUUUUACCUCACAAAUAUCUUUGACUAAUCAAACAAUUUCUGAUAUUGAUAUGAAAUGAUUAAUAAUAAUAUUAAUGAUAAUUAUAACUUAAAGUUUAAUCAAAUGCGAGACUUAAGGCUACGGUCUCACUUGACAUACAUUUGAGUUGACCGUGUCCUAUAUUUGAUUGCAUGCUUUUAACUUGAAUUGCAAUUUAUCUUUUAUAAUUUGAAUAUUUGCUUACUAUUUAGGCAAAUAAAAAUAUUCUCUUGAUUUAAUUAGUUAAGCCACUUUCUUUUACUCACUCCGUUCCUUUUCAAAUGUAACUUUUUAAUUUUUUAUACAUUUCAAUUCCAAGACACCUAAUCAUUAUUGUUAUUUUUCAAAUAAUAAUUUUCUUUUUACUUAUAAUACUCUUAAUCAUUUAUUAUCUUCAUUUUAUUUUUUCUUUAUAUAUAAUAAUUACAUAUAGAUAAUUUUGACAAAAAAUACAAUUAAUACUAUCUUAAACUUUAUAAUUAAAAAUUAAAAAGAAAUAAUUUUUCUUUUAAAAAAUAAUACUUAAAAAAGAACAGAGGGGAGACAUGAUAUUUCAUAUUUGUGCUGAUUGCCGUUUUUCACAUGACGUGCCAUUCCCACUCAUCACAUAAAAAAAAAGUAACUUUUCAGUUUCAUUCCAUUAAUCCACAGUUCCCAAGGGCAAGCUUGUGGUGAUUGAAAAUGACAAAUAAAAAUUGAUUCUAUAAUUAUUCCAAACAUUUGACACUUGUCGUACAUAUGAUGAAAGAUAAAUGACACGUCAUACAUUCUAUUUGGAUAAGGUUCAAAAAAUGCGCAUGAUAUCCUAACGUGUAUCACCGUACCGUAUCUGUAACAAGUUUAAGGAUGAUUAAAAUUAAUUUUGGAGCAAGAAGAAAAUUGACAAGUAUUAUAUCAUGUCACACCUAACUAGACGCAAAUUUCAAAUAGUGGGUCAAUUAAUCCACUUACAUACUGUAUGAUAUAAGCUUGUGAUUUGUGAGCUGUUAAUCUCCUAAGCAUGACAGAUACACUAUGAUUAUUUUAGUUGGUAGGGCAAUUAAAAAUCGGUAAGUAACCACUAAUCAAGUAAACGUGUGUAUUAUCGUCACCGACACAACACAACCAUGUAAACCACAUUUCUUAAAUCCUUGCCUGCACCUUCUUACUUUGUUUUUUACUCAAUUUCAAAUUUUAUAAUUAUUAUUAAUUUAACAUGUUUGCCUUCUGUUUUGUAAGGCAAAAAUCGUGGACGAAAUUUUGUGAUUUAUUAUUGUUAUUUAUUUUAAUUAUAAUAUUUUUAAUUUUAAUUUUAAUUUAAUUAGUUUGGAUUUGUUUUGAUUGAUUUAAGAGGAUCGGACCUAAGUAAGGGUAAUACAAUUCUUAAUUCACGGUCUUAUUUUAUUUUUAAAAAAAUUAAAAAAUAUAUUUAAUAUUUAUAUUAAAUAAAUUAUAAAUUAGAAAAUAAACAUGAAUUUAUUAUUAAAUAGUAAAUUUUUAUUUUAAAAUAUAGAGUAAAGAUUGUGGGUUCAAUCCUUGUUAUAUCUUUUUAAUCAUUAUUGCAUAGUUUUUUUAUUAUUAUGAUAAGUGUUAGUGACUUAAACUAUUUAAAGAUGAAUAAAAAAUAUAAAAAGUAAAAUAAAAUUGAAGAUUUUAUGUUUUUCUUUUAUUUUUUAAUCAUUGAUUCUUUUGAUUUUGUAAUUGUUAAUUUUUUUUAUUUUUUAUUUUAAUUUAUUAAUUGUUUAAUGAUAUUUUGAUGACACUAAAAUAUAAAGAUUUAAUUGAUGAAUUUGCUUAAAAAAAUAUUUGGAGAAAUAAUCUUUUUAAUUUAUUAUAAAUUUUAAGUUGUAUGAAAUGUUCUUUUUAUUAUAGUUCAAACAAUACUUCGAGUUUUGUUGUUGUUUCACUUGGUUAAUAUAUAGUUGUAUUUUUCAAUACAUUAGUUUUAAUUAUUAAAAUUAUAUUUAUAUUUAAUUUAGGCUUGUUUUUUAAAUUAGAACAUGGUCUUCUGAUAGAUUGGAUCGAUCAUGAAUAGUAACACGUGUGAUUAUGUUUAAUUUAUUUAAUUUUUAAAAUUAUUAUCAUUGUUAACGUGUUGAUGUCGUGUACGAUAUUUGUGUCGUGUACGCUGCUGAAGAUGUGCAUACCACGGUUGCUCUUGCUGAUUUUAUAGAAAAAUAGGGAAUUUCGAUUUUGUAGGGCGACGUCCACUAUUUAGUCCCUAAAUAGAGGCUUUCGAUCCUUGAUUUUUUCCUAAUAAAUCGACAAAAAAUCAGAAUAAUCUGAGACGAUUUUCUUAAAAAUAGAAAGAAAGAAAAAUUCCUAAACCGCGAAAGGACCAGAACGCAAGAAAGUUAGGGCAAAGAAAAUGUUAAAAUACAAUAGCUAUAAAUAUAAUAAUGGUUAGACUAUAAUAAUAGUUAAAAUCUACAAGAGUCCCCGGCAACGGCGUCAAUUUGAUCCGCUGUCGCGCGCGGGUCAAAACGAGUGUUUUUCAAAAACGUAGUACGGCGAUAAUUUUAACUCGGAUAUCGUUCUCACAAGGAUUCUUGAUUAUUAUUAUUAUUAUUAUUAUCCAAAGGUAAAUCGAAUUAAGGGGGGUGGGGGGUUGUUUGGUUUGGUGUUCGAUUAAGAAAAAGUGAUUAUUAAAAGUAAUUCUUGAAAUAAGCUAUUAUGAAAUAAGUAAUUAUGAAAUAAUUCAAUCUACCGAUUUAGUUCCUACUAUCAUUGAUUAAUAUAAUUUAAUACCCUAAGUGAAUUGUAUAUUCCUAUUUGGAUACAAACUCAAUGACAAGCGCGGUGAAGUUUGUGAGAUGUAUGAUCCUAUUGUCCGAAUUAAGCAAACGGGAUAAGUUUUCAUGGAUUAAGCAAACAUGAUUGAUCAGACACAAUUGUGAGAUGUAUGAUCCUAUUGUCCGAAUUAAGCAAACGGGAUAAGUUUUCAUGGAUUAAGCAAACAUGAUUGAUCAGACACAAAAACGAAUUAAGCAAACGUGACGUGCCUAUGUUAGGAUCAUAGAAUCAACCAAAUUGAAUCAAUAUAUUUCAUGCAAUCGAAUUAAGCAUACAAGAACACAAAAUAUCUUUGAAAGGAAUUAAACUAAAAUUAACAUUAUAAUAAUCUCAAGUUUUGGAACCUGAACUAUGGCAGAUCGAAUCAGAGGGAUUAGUUCUCCAUGGAAUUCGUACAAGCUUUCAAAUUUUCGUGAGUAGUGAUACCGUGUACUGUUUUCGGCUGCUUAGGUUAUAGGAAAAGUAGAAUAAAUCUAAUUUGGUCAAAAUAUAACCCAGGCCCAAACUAAAUAACCCAACACAAAAUAUAAAUAUAGUGCUGAAGGCUUCAACGGAUUUUUCAACCAUGCUACAGUCCGAAUUAGCUUCUGACUUCUUCAUGAAAGUCGUAGCUCUUUCUCUUAGCUUUCCAACGACUGGUAGCACGCCUCGAUUUGAUACUCCUAGCUCCAGUUAUGAAUUUAUUUGUGCAGACUGCUAAUGCUGAAAAUAAACUGCGAAAAACAAAUAAGUGUAAAAAUAAGAUAAAUUAUAAAAACACAUUAAAAGGGAAAAAUAACCAAAAAAAACAAAUAAGUGUAAAAAUAAGAUAAAUUAUAAAAACACAUUAAAAGGGAAAAAUAACCAAACUAAAACAUGGAAAUGCAUAAGUAUAAAUAUAGAAGAAUGUGCAUCAAAAUGCACUGAUCAUAUUUCCAUUAAGUCCCACUUGUAUUUAAGCAAGUGAGUGGUGUGAGCAUUAGUACCUUUUAUUCCUUUUGUUGUGUGUGUGCUUAUGUGUGUAUUAUGUAACUGUUUUGAGUAGUGGAACUUUGUUAUUAUUAUUUCUUCUCUCUCUUGUUUGUUUCAUUGUUCAUCUUUAUCACCUUAUGCACCAACAAUUGGUAUCUAGAGCUCCGGUUCAAAUCCACGGGGAAACACCAUGGAAAACACGAGUGAAACGGUGAGGCAUUGUGUGAUUGAUUUAUGUUUGGAGAAUUCGUGUUGAAUUUUUUAUUAGAAUUGUAACAGAAUCACAUAUCUUGAUUUUGCGGGAUUGGGAACAUUGUGUUUAGGUGAGAUCUAAGUUUAUUGCAUAAGGUUGAAGAUGAACAAAAACGGGAAUCUGAGUACGAAGCUUCUAGUGUUCGAUGGCAAGAACUGGAAUGUUUGGUGAUUCAGAUGUGUGUGUUGUUUGGAGCUCGAGAUGUUCUUGAUCUCAUCAACAACUAUUACAUUCAGGUUACACUUCCAGAAAAUGCAACAGAUGCAUAGAGAAAUGCUAAGUCUGAUCUGAGGAAGAAGGAUCAAAAGGCUCUGUUCUACAUCCAUCGGUGUGUGGAUGUGAACGUGUUUGAGAAAAACGUUGAUUCGACGACGGCGAAAGCUGCAUGGGACACACUGGUGCGGUACUACGAUAGCGAUGCAUUAGUGAAGAAGGUGAAGCUUUAGUCACUACGUAAGCAAUAUGAGAACCUCAGCAUGAAGAACAAUGAGAAGGUACCUAAAUACAUCUCCAUAGUGAUUCUGAACACAAAUAAGAUGAAGUCGUGUGGAGAAACUCUCUCUGAAGAAAGUAUCAUAGAGAAGGUGCUUAGAUCUCUUACUCCUCAACUUGAUUACAUUGUUGUAACAAUUGAACAUUUUAAUGAUUUAAGCAUCAUGAGAAUAGAAGAGCUGCAAAGCAGUCUAGGGGGCAAGAGUUGCGUUUAACUGAAAAAAACCUCUGAGAGAGAGGUAGAGUAAGCUCUGAAAGAUUCUUUUGUCAAUAAAAACCAGAAGCAGUCUUGGUCAGAAGCCAAGAAAAGACAUGGUAGGUCUCAGAAGUCAGAAACCUCAACUUCUAGGAGUCUGAAGGGAAAGGAGAAGUAUGACAAGAGAAAAGUUCAAUGUUACUGUUGUAAAAAGUUUGGCCACUUCGCUGCAAAUUAUUGGUCAAAUAAGAAUAGAAAAUCAGAAGAAGUGAAUAUAGCCAGAAGUUCUGAUGAUGAACAUGUGUUAAUAAUGGCUUCUGAUUCUGAUGGUGCGUCUCUAGAAGACUGGUGGUAUAUGGAUACUAUUUGUUCAAACUAUCUUACUGGAAAUAAGAAAUGACUGGUUGAUUUUGACUCUAGGAAGAGGACCAAGAUCAGAUGUGCUGAUGAUAAGUAUUUGAACGCUGAAGGAAUGGGGAAUGUUAGAGUGAUUCUGAAUAAUGGCAAAUCUAUGUUAAUUUAGAACGUCUAGUAUCUUCCUGGCAUAAAGAGAAAUCUGAUAAGUGUAGGUCAAUUAAUUGAAAAAGGAUUCUCAGUUAGCAUGAAGGGAAAUCUUUUGAAGUUGUAUGACUGUAAUUAGAAGUUGAUUAUGGAGUCAGAACAUGGAAGGAAUAGAACAUUCAAGGUGAAUAUUCAAACUGCAAACUCUUAAUGCCUUAGUACAACAAGUAUUGUGAAGAAAAGUGAGUUGUGGCACAAAAGAUUUGGCCAUUUGAACUUCAGAAGCCUAGGGCACCUGAAUUCAAAGAAACUAGUACAUGGAAUUCAUGCAAUUAAGAAACCAGAAAAGCCAUGCAAUGUGUGAAUGAGAGGGAAGAAACUAAGACUAUCAUUUGCAUCAGAAGUAGCUCCAAGAGCAAAGCAUGCUUUGGAAGUAAUGCAUUCUGAUGUGUGUGGACCAUUUCUAAAACCUUCACUAUGAGGGAAUAAAUACUUUGUGUCAUUUAUGGAUGAGUUCACAAGGAUGACAUGGGUAUCCCUUAUAAAGUUCAAACACGAGGUGCUUGUUGAAUUUAAGAGAUUCAGAAUCAAGGCUGAGAAAUAGAGUGGUUAGACUCUGAAGAUUCUCAGAACUGAUGGUGGAUGUGAGUAUAACUCUACAGAGUUCAAGAAGUUCUGUGAGGAGAAUGGAAUUGAGCAUGAAGUGAUUGCUCCAUAUACUCCUUAACACAAUGGUCUUGUUGAAAGGAGAAACCGAACUUUGCUUGAUAUGGCAAAGAGCAUGUUGAAAGAGAAGAAGCUUCCUAACACUUUUUGGGGAGAAGUUGUUGCCACUACAACCAAUGUGCUAAACAGGUGUCCAACCAAGAAGUUGAAGGAAAUUCUUCCUUUUGAGAGGUGGACUCGAGAUAAGCAAAGUGUGAGUCAUUUUAGAGUAUUUGGGUAUGUCUGUUAUAAACGCAUUCCAGAUGAUACUAGAAAGAAGCUGGAUGAUAGAAGCAAGGUGAUGUUACUGGUGGGGUAUCACAGUACAAGUGCUUAUAAGCUUUAUUGUCCAUUCACUAAUAAGGUUGAAGUCAACAAAGAUGUUGUUGUGAAAGAGUCAGAAGUAUGGGAUUGGAGCAAGUCUCAAUCCAACUCCGGUGCAGAGUUAACUUCUGAAGAUAUUGAUUCUGAUUCUGAAAAUGAGUCAGAGCCUGAAAAUGAUUCUGAGAGUGAGUCCGAAAUAGAAGCCGAAAUUGAUUCUGAAUAAGAAUCUGAUUCUAAUCCAGAUUAUGGUGGUGAGUCAGAUUCUAGUGGUAGUCCAGAUUCUAGGAAUACUCUAGAUUUUGAAGGUGGUCAUGCUUCUGAAGUCAGUACUUCUAGAGUUCCAGCAUCUCAUAUUUUUCCAGUAUCAAAAGGUUCUGAACAAGUUCAGAGGCCACAAAGAAUCAAAAACAUUCUGAGAAGACUUGUAGAGUUUGAUGUGCUGCAAGAUACUGAAGUAGAUUCUGAAGGGGAAAUUAUUCAAUGUGCCAUGUUAGUAGAUUCUUAACCCAUGAGUACGGAAGAAGCUCUCAAUAAGAAAGUCUGGAUGAAGUUAUAAGGUGAAGUUAAAGCCAAAUGGAUCAAUUUGCAAACACAAAGCAAGGUUAGUCGUGAGAGGUUUUCUGUUGAUGACAUAUUACUAACAGGAAGUUGUGAACAUGAGAUAACUAAGUUCAAGAAGGAGUUGAUGAAUGAGUUUGAGAUGACUGAUCUAGGAAAUAUGGUUUAUUUUCCAGGGAUGAAGAUUAUGUACUCUGAGAAAGACAUAAUUUUACAUCAACUGGAAUAUGAACUUGAGUUCGGAAGUAUGGAGUUUUAUUCCCUUCUGGUGCUGAAACUAACUCAGAACUUUUGAGUUACUCAGAUUCUUAUUAGUGUGGAGACAGAGUUGACAUAAGAAGUACUUCUGGAUACUUGUUUAAAUUUCUGGGAAGUCCUAUUUCUUGGUGUCCCAAGAAAUAGCCAGUUGUUGCUUUGUCAACCUGUGAAGGAAAAUAUAUUGUAGGUGUUGUGACUGCAUGUCAAGUUGUGUGGCUUCUGAAUUUACUGUAGAAUCUGAAGAUCAAAGUAAACAAGCCUAUGAAGCUGAUGAUUGAUAACAACUUUCCAAUCAAUCUUGCCAAGAAAUCAGUGUUGCAUGGGAGAAGCAAGCAUAUUGAGACUAAGUAUCACUUUCUGAGAAAUCAGGUUCAAAAUGGAGUGCUAGAAGUUGUGCAAUGUAGCACACAGAAGCAGUUGGCAGAUGUUCUGACGAAGACGAUCAAGACUAAUCAAUUUCUCCGCUUGAGGGGUAAAAUUGGUGUUGUUAGUUUUGGUUAAGCUGAAUAUGAAUUAAGGGAUGUUCUGACGAAGGCGAUCAAGACUGAUCAAUUUCUCCGCUUGAUGGAUGGAAUUAGUGUUGUUAGUUUUGGUUAAGGUGAAUAUGAAUUAGGGAUGAUGUUAGAAUUAAUUUAUAUUUUCAGAAACUUGUUGACAAAGUUUGUUAGAGGGUAUUUUAGUAUUUCCAUUAAAUCUCAUUUGUAUUUAAGCAAGUGAGUGGUGUGAGCAUUAAUAUCUUUUAUUUCUUUUGCAGUGUUUGUAUUUUUCUGUGUAACUGUUUUGAGUAGUGAAAAUUUGUUAUUAUUCUCUCUUCUCUCUCUUUUUUGUUUCAUUGUUCAUCUUUAUCACCUUGUGCACCAACAACCUUCGAAAUGUUAAGAUGUGAAUUCUAAAAUUCAAAAUAAAAACAUCAUGACAAAAAAGAAAGAAAAAUGAAAGGGUGUAUGGAUUAUUCGAAGUUUUCGAAUUCUAGAAUUGUUAAGAUUUAAAAAACAUGAUUCAGAAUUUAGAAUCUCAGUAGUAUUUUCAGCAGUUUAAGGAGAUUUUGAUAGUAUUUGAGAUAAAAGAAGUGCAGCAAUGUAUAUAAUGUAAAAAAUAUCUCCUCUCAAACUUACUACAUUCUUAGAAAGCUCCCAGUUUUUUUUUCUGGUCUUUUAAAUUUUUCAUAAUUUUUACUCCUUCGAAUUCAAUGAUGGUCAAAUUGUAAAAUACAAUUUUUUCUAUAAAAAAAAUUAUACCUUUGGAUUGACCGAUCUUAAAUAUAAAAUAUUUAUUCAAUUCUUCAGAUUUCUUGUUCAAAUUAGGUGUAAAAUGCAGAUUCUAAGUUUAUUUUCUACAUCUCUCUGUUCAAUCAAAAACUACAAAAUAGUUAUUCGAUCUAAUACCAACAACAAAAGUCAUUCCAUCAAGUGGGAUCUUUAAAACUUAACUUGAGUUCGGCGCAAAUAUUUUUUAAAUUCAAAUUCGAUUCAUUUUAAAUUCACGAGCAAUUCGAUUCGAAUAGUUAGAUUUAUCUCAUUAAGUUUAAAUAAUUUUUUUAUGAAUUUAAAUAUAAAUUUCAUUUGAUAUAGAACUUUUAUUAAAUAAAAAAGAAAUUUAAUCUUUUUUUACGUAUAAUAUUGAUUUUAUUUAUAUAAUUACUUUUUAAAAAUAUUUUAUUCACAUGAAAAUAUAAAUGAUUAAUUAAAAAUGUUAUAUUAUAAGAAAAUAGAUCGCUAAAUUUUAAAGUAAGUCAAUAUAAAUCACUUUUAAAACUUAUAUAACUUUUCUUAUAUAUAAUUAAUUUGAUUCACAAACCUAACGAAUACAACUAUUCAUAAAGUAGAAUUAUGCAUAGUUCAACUCAUUUAAUUGAUAAAUUAAUUUUUUUUUUCUUCACAUAUUUAUUUAUUUUUUCUUCAUAUUUUUUAAAAUAAUUUAUGAACUUAAUUCUUCUGUUUAUUUGUAUAAUCAAUAUUUAUUUAUUUUUUCUUCAUAUUUUUUAAAAUAAUUUAUGAACUUAAUUCUUCUGUUUAUUUGUAUAAUCAAAUUUCAAAUUAUAUUCAAGUUGGUUCUUAAUUUUACUUUUUAUUUGUAUAAUCAAAUUUCAAAUUAUAUUCAAGUUGGUUCCACUUAUUCUUUGACUUGCUAUUUCUAUCCAAACCAUAUAAAAAAUGAUAAUUAAGAAAUUCAAUGCAAAAAUCAUAUAUUAACUUUUUAGAAAGUUUCAAAUUCUUUCUUGUAAAUAUAAACUUUUUUAUUUUAUUUUUAAAUUUUUAACUUGUACCCUAAAUUAACACCCUUCUUAAAACACAAACUUAUGUCCAGAUCCUAGAAGAGUGCAACUUCAAGAAAUAAGUGAAAUACGUCGUUCUAAGUAUUUGUUUCUCAUAUCCGAUGAAUAAGAUAUCAGAAAUAGAGAUGUCCAUUCUAAAGACACUUGUUUCAUUGGUCCCUUUAGCAUUAUGUUUAUACUAUUCCUCAUCUUGUUUAUUUUCUAGUGCCUUUAGUAUUAUGUCUCUAUACUCUUCCUCAUCUUUUUCAUUUUCUAAUUUGCUGGCAACCAACAUCCAUCAUUUUGAUUGUUCCUUUAUAUGUGCACAGUGCACACUGGGUUCUCGAGCUGACGCUAGCAAAAAAAAAAACCUAAGCGACCUCAAAGAGCCCAGUAUGCCACUUACAAAAAGUUAACUUAUUCUUAUGUAAGUGAAAAGGGUAACUUAUAAAUUCUGUUCUACACAAGUACUUCCAGAUAUAUUUACUGAAACUGGAUCUAAAACACCAAUUAAUGCUGCAGCUUAGCAUUGUUAAGACACCACCAAAACGUUGUUCAGAGUCUCAGAUCAUGAUAGACUACACUAUGAAUAACAAUAGCAACCGAUCUUUCAAGGAUCCAAUGUGAAAAAGUCAUGCAUAUAAAUGACAAAAUAUAAAGGAAACAUAAUAAAGCAUCAGAUAGAAGAAACAACAAUGCAAGCCAAAAUACAGAAACAAACAGAUGGGUGCAGAACUACUCUAAACCAUGUACCCAAACUCCCACUACCGUCACCUCCAUUUUCCCAAUUUGGAAUUUCCAUUCUCUCCACAUCAGGCUCAUAACAAGAAUUCCUCCGGAUAUGCUAAUUACAAUGCAAUCUUCACUAAAGAUAGAAGAGUACUGCUGAACACACUUACACGUCAUACUUAGUAACUUAUUUUAUUCAUAUCCAUGCUCUGGCUCUUCUUCCUCCUCGUCCUCAUAUUCUCCUUCUUCAUCAGCAGUGGCAUCCUGGUACUGCUGGUAUUCAGACACAAGGUCAUUCAUGUUGCUCUCUGCUUCUGUGAACUCCAUUUCAUCCAUGCCUUCACCAGUGUACCAAUGCAAGAAAGCCUUCCUCCUAAACAUAGCAGUAAAUUGUUCGCUCACCCUUCUAAACAUUUCCUGAAUGGAAGUUGAAUUACCAAUGAAGGUAGAAGCCAUGGAGAGACCUCUAGGAGCAAUGUCACAGACACUUGACUUAACAUUGUUGGGGAUCCACUCAACAAAGUAGGAAGAGUUCUUGUUCUGGACGUUAAUCAUUUGUUCAUCCACCUCUUUGGUGCUCAUUUUACCCCUGAACAUGGCAGAUGCAGUGAGGUAGCGGCCGUGCCUGGGAUCAGCAGCACACAUCAUGUUUUUGGAAUCCCACAUUUGCUGGGUGAGCUCAGGAACCGUCAAAGCACGGUACUGCUGAGAGCCACGGGAGGUGAGAGGUGCAAAACCAACCAUAAAGAAAUGCAGCCGAGGGAAUGGGAUGAGAUUCACAGCCAGUUUCCGGAGAUCAGAGUUGAGUUGACCAGGGAAACGAAGACAGCAGGUCACACCACUCAUAGUAGCUGAGAUCAAGUGGUUCAAAUCACCAACUGCAACAAAACAAACAAUCACACAUUUUCAAUAAUCACAAACAUCAACAGAAGUUACCCAACAAUUGAAAAAUCAGCUGCAAUCAAAUUUGCUUAAAACAUAAAUAAACAGUCUAAUGGAUUCCCAAAAAUCAUUUUACGGUCAAACCAGUUAAUCAAAUCCCAUAAAUGAAACUUGGGAAAGCAAUUUGACUGAAAAGUGCACAAUGAAAAGAAAAGAAAAAUCCAUUAUUAUUAUUCAAGAACCACAACUAAACCAGAAAAAGUGAUAUACACAAGUACUCAAUCAAUUGACAAAUAAAUAAAUCAUCAAAGCCAAAGUGUAUCAGUGAUGUGAUGGAAUCAAAUCCAUAUCAAGUGAUGAACAAUUGCAACAAGCAUCUAUAAUCCAGAAUAAGUCAAUUCAAGUCCUCAAACAAGUCUUACACAGCCAAUUCAAUAAUUCAAUUCGCAUAAUAGAAUAAUAAUUUAACUAAAUAAAUGCAAAUUAAGGACAGUUGACUCCUUUGACCAAAACAAAUGCACAAAGAAUCAUUAACAUGUGAAGCCUCUAAGCAAUCUACAAUGCCAUCAUUACAUCUCCUAUCUAGUAACAAGCAACGUAAAAGAAAUUUAGAUCGCAUGAAAAGAUAACAAUACUCACAGCUAGGAGUGGUCAAUUUGAGAGUCCUGAAGCAGAUAUCAUAAAGAGCUUCGUUAUCAAGAACCAUACAUUCAUCAGCGUUCUCCACCAACUGAUGAACUGAGAGAGUAGCAUUGUAAGGCUCAACAACAGUAUCAGAAACCUUAGGCGAAGGAAACACCGAGAACGUGAGCAUCAUCCUAUCAGGAUACUCCUCUCUAAUCUUGGAUAUCAACAGUGUUCCCAUUCCAGAUCCCGUUCCUCCACCUAACGAAUGACACACCUGAAACCCUACCAAAAAACAAAAUCAAAAUUAGUAACCGGAAUUACACAAAAAUCAUCGAUCCGGUUCAUAUCACUGAUCAUUGAUAAGUACGGUUCAGUUAAACUACCUUGAAGACAGUCGCAAUUCUCAGCUUCCUUUCUAACAACAUCGAGGACCGAGUCAAUAAGCUCAGCGCCUUCAGUAUAGUGUCCUUUCGCCCAAUUGUUACCAGCGCCGGACUGACCGAAGACGAAGUUAUCCGGACGGAAGAUCUGGCCGUAAGGACCAGUACGGACACUGUCCAUGGUACCAGGCUCCAAGUCCAUGAGGAUGGCGCGUGGAACAAACCUUCCACACGAUGCUUCGUUGUAGUAGACAUUCACGCGCUCGAGUUGCAGAUCUGAGUUUCCGACGUAUCUUCCAGUCGGAUCUAUGCCGUGCUCGUCGCAAACAACCUCCCAGAACUUUGAGCCGAUCUGGUUACCGCAUUGUCCUCCUUGAACGUGAAGGAUUUCCCUCAUUUUGUUCGUUUUUUCUGUGAUUUAAACAGUGAAAAGGUUAAUUUCAGAAAUAUUCAACAGUGAGAGAGAGAAAUUGAUGAAACCAGAUCUAGAUGUAGAGAGAGAGAGAAAGAGAUAAACCUGUGGCGGUGAGGAAGAUGAGUGAGAGAGUGAGGAGUGAGAAUUUGGGAGCAGGGAAAUGCUUGAGCGGGAUUUUUAUAGCGAGAGAGAGUGAGAGUUUGGACUAACGUAUUAAUUCAAGUUUGUUCCCUCGCUUUGUGUUGAAAAGAAAUGUGAGCCGUUCGAUGGAAUCCUGCCGACGGUGGAGAUUGAAAUAUUUGAUUAUUUAAAUUUUGAAGGGUUGUUUGGUAUUGGUGCAGAGUAAUUGUGUUAGGACAGAUAUACCCUUUUGUUGAAUUACGAAAUGGUCCUUUUUCGGUAGAUAGAUUAAUUUUAGAUGGGGAACAUGGAAGGGAGAGGUACGAAAAAUAAGGGUAAGAAGAAUAAUUUGGACGUGCUAACUGCUUGGGUUGUAAAGUCUAUGUCCGUGUCAACCAAAUCCGUCAUUGAGAGAGACCUAUGAUUUGUUUCUUUCUCAUUUUUUCUUCUUUAUUUGUAAAAUUUGAAAGAGAAAUUCUCCCUCUUUUGUUAAUUACGGCCUUCAUCUCAAAAUAAUUUAGUUUUAAAAAAAUACUAACAUAUUUUUUAGACUGGCCGCCGGUUGUUAUUAAUUUUUAACAUGACAAUAAUGGGUGAUAUUUUUCAAAAGUUUAUAUACAUUAAUGCUUUUUAUAAAAAAUAAUUAUAUUUUAAGUAUAAGAAAACAUAAACUAUAUUUCUCUCUUAUGAUUUUCAAUAAAUUUUAAAUAUGGUAGUAUAAGUUUAUUUAAGUAUAUUAUUUUUUAACUGUAGUCCUUAUAAUUUUGUAUGUUUACUUUUUAUCCUUACAAUUAUAUAUUACUUUACAUUUAGUUUUUGUUCCAAUUUAAAAAGAUAAAAUAAUUUUUAAUGCGUCCAUAAUCUAAGGUUACGUCGUCCUUAAAAAAUCAAAAAAGAGAAAAAAAUAUUGUAUUUUUGAGAUUAUUUGAUCAUCAGGAAUGUCCAUUAUUUUUGUAGUGGUCUAAAUUUCAUUAUUUAAGAGAAAAUAUAUUGAUAAAUAAUAUAUACAUAUUAUUCAAAAAUGGUACUUAAUUUUUGUUUAAUUUUUUAUUUUUGGUGAAUCUUGAUUUUUAUUACUUUAAUUUAUAAUAAAUUUAUUUUUUUAAUUAUCAAACUAAUCGUUAUUUAACUUAAUCAUUAUCCAAACUAUUAAUUAUUGUCAUUAUUCAAAACACUUAUUAUUAAAAAUAUACAAUAUUCAAACUAAUUGUUAUUCAAAUUAAUCGUUAUUAAAAGUAACUGAUAGUUAGACUAGUUAUUCAAAAUGGUAGUAGUUGUUAUUAUUCAAGUAUUAUCGUGUGUGUGUGUAUAUAUAUAUAUAAUAUAUAUAUAUAUAUAUAUAUAUAUAUAUUCUUGUAUUCUAAGUGUUUCGUACUAGAGUUAUAGAAAUGUUUAGAUUGAACAGACUUGAGUUUCGAUGUAAUGGAGCGAACUUUUAAUACCUAUGAGUGAAGUGGACAUGCAAGGUUAACACUUCAUCGUUAAGUUACUAAAUGAAAGAGAAAGUAGUUUGAGUGUAUGAAUGAGAUUAUAUUUGGAAUGGCGUGUGUUAAACAUUAUAUAGUGUGGAUGGUUAGAGUUGACCCCGCAUGACUCGGUGCAUUACUCGAGGGACUAUUCGAUUACAUCUGAUAGUGGUGAAUGCUUUAAGUCGCCAAUGCUUAGGCAUGCACAUUUUGGGAUUAGGCUUCAUUGUGAUUGGCCUUUAUCGCCUUUGGGCCUAUGGUCGGCCAAGAAUAGUUUCCCCCUAACUUUAUCCUUGCAUAGGGAUAAAAAGACUUUUCAUAAUACUAGGUCAUUGUCCCAUUCAACUAUGGUCCAGGUGACAGAUUCUUAUCUUGCAAAAAUGGAAAGUUCAUCCAUGAAGGUUGUGAAGGAAUCCAUGCUAAAAGGCUUGCUAUGGCUAAAAAGAUCAUUUGAGUUGGUUAUUACUAGACAAUCAUGGAGGUUGAUUGUUACAACUUUGUCAAGAGAUGUCAUAAGUGUCAGAUCUAUGCUGACAAAGUCCAUGUGCCACUAACUCCAUUGAACAUCUUGGCUUCUCCUUAGCCCUUCUCUAUGUGGGGUAUUGAUAUGAUUAGGAUGAUCGAACCGAAGGCUUCCAAUGGUCAUCAUUUCAUUUUGGUUGUUAUUGAUUACUUCACCAAGUGGGUUGAAGUUGUUUCAUAUGCAAAUGUCACACGACAAGUGGUUACGAGGUUCAUCAAGAAAGAAAUAAUAUGUUGAUAUGGUGUUCCUAGCAAGAUUAUCACUUACAAUGUCAGUAACCUGAACAACAAAAUGAUGAAAUAGUUCUGUCAAGAGUUCAAGAUCGAGCACCACAACUCUUCACCAUACCGAUCCAAGAUAAAUGGUGUCGUAGAUGCAACAAACCAAAACAUCAAGAAGAUUGUCCAGAAAAUGGUCAAGACUUAAAAAGAUUUGCAUGAAAUGCUUCCCUUUGCACUUCAUGGCUAUAGGACUUCAGUACGUACUUCUACUAGGGAAACUCCAUUUUCCCUCGUAUAUGGCAUGGAGGUUGUACUCCCAAUCGUGGUGGAAAUUCCGUCAUUAAGGGUUAUUAUGGAAGCCAAACUUGAUGAAGCUGAAUGGAUCCAAUCGUAAUAUGAUCAGCUGAAUCUCAUAGAAGAAAAGCGCUUGACGGCUCUCUAUCAUGGUCAGAUAUACCAAAGACGUCUCAAGAAAGCUUUUGACAAAAAGGUUCGUCCUCGAGUAUUUCAAUAAGGCGACCUCGUGCUCAAGAAAUACUCCCUUAUACACUCGGAUCCACGAGGCAAGUGGACUCCCAACUACGAAUGACCCUUUGCCGUAAAAAAUUCCUUCUCAAGCGGAGCUCUGAUCCUCACCACCAUGGAUAGGAAGGAGUUUCCACUUCCCGUGAACUCCGACGCAGUAAAAAAAUACUAUGCCUAAAAAGAAAUGAAUAAGAGUAUGCUAGAUUGACACCCGUAAGGACAAUCUAGGAAAAAAUGAGUAUCCCAAUGGAACAAAAAAAAAGAAAUGUCCAUGAAAAAGUUAGGGAUCAAAACACAAAAAAAUAUAACAUCCCGCUAAGUCGAAAACCCGAAAGGCACGACUUAGGCAAAAAUGGGCAUCCCAAUGGACAAAAAAAGAGAGAAAAAAUAUCCAGACAAAAGUUAGGGAUAAAGGCAUUUGACAACACUUUAGCCUACUUUAUCACAACUAGAUCUCAGACGUCAACGGAUUGAUCCAGUCAUCGUCAACCAAAGCGAAGUGUUGGGACCAAGAUCUUACAGGAGAUGGUAGCAUAUGUUGUAACCAAUGGAAAUUCAUAUAAAUUUCCCAUUGUCGUUUACCUUUAUUUUUCAAUUUUUGUAAUUUCCUCUUCUAGGAUUUUACAUUUGUGUACACAUCAUAUGUACAAAUUUUUCCAUAGUUAAUAAAGUUUACUUUCCGUUAUCAAUUAUUUUUUGUUAUCAAUUUUUAUUUCUCGUAAUUUGUUUGCAAAAUAAUUUAUUGUUUUUUAUCAUAUGAUGCCGCAAAACAUCGAGAAUAAUAAAAGCUAAAACAAAAGAAAAAACGUUGUGCAUUGCUUUGAUUACUUGAAAAGUUCUAAAGCGAGAUUCGUAGUCUAUAGUAGAUGAUUAGUAUGCGAAUGCAUCUCAAUAACUGUCCGAUCAGAUCACACAUCCUUUUCUCCCCAACAACGUCAGGUUUGAAAUCUCCAGCAAUUAUGGUAACGUGAAGUCUUCUCCUUUGUGACAAGCUCUCUGGUCCAGAUAUCAAAAGUCGGAGAGUUGAAGUCUACAACCAUGCCAAAAGAGUAUCACCCUUGUAGAUACCAUUCAUCUCUCACACAAAAAAAGCCCACAUCGCUGCAUAGCAUGCAUAAUUUCAUGCAUCGGGUAAAAUCAAUCAUACAUUGCAUAUAUCAUGCAUAUCAAACCGUUCUCUUGUGACGGAUAUAUUUCCCCAACAGAUAUUUCAGUCAAUCCCCAAAAGAUAAACCUAUAAAAAACCUACCCGUCAUUCCAUAUCCUCGAUAAACAAAUCCUAAAUGCACUUACCUUUCUUUCAAUGCAUCUUUAUCUUCCAACAGACAAAUUUUCAGAUAUUCUUAUAUUUAAUCCUCUUCUACCUUGAAUGCUUGAAAAGUUAUCACCAUUAGUACAUUCAGGUCCAAGAUAAUUAAAUAGGGACAACUGUCAUACCCCAAAAUUUGCCAUACUUUUUUCAUUUUUGUCUAGCUCAUGAUUCUCAUUUCAUCCACUACAAAAAAACGGGUAAAUUAUGGUGGUUUUAUUAGGAAGAUGGUAGAAAAUGCCACAAUUUUCCGUGAAUUAUGACGUUUUUAUUUAAUGACAUAAUUCUAUUCUCGUGAAGGCAGUUUUAAUUCACAUAAAUUAAUCCAAUUCACUUUGGUGCCUAACUUUUCACCUUCUAUCCCUUCUCCUUUUUACCCUAUUUCUUGUUACCUGUUUUAUUUUGUUUUGUUUACCCUAAUAAUUUUCCUUUCUUCCUGUUUUCUCUCCACUUUUCACAACUCCCACCUUUCUUUAUCCCCAUCUGUCAAACAUAUUGAAAAUAUUCAAACCAUUACACCACUUCGGUGUUUCCUAAUCCACUAUCAGUGACAACUUUUCUGACUUUCGUCUCUACAUCUCACUGUUUCAGGUGUGUUCCAUUUCGCUUCGCAUUACUAGGGUUCAUAGAGGACCAAGAUUAUUCACAUAAAUGCAAGUGUUUAUAAGUAAGAUUUUUGUUCGCCACUCUAAUUUGUGUUGCUUAACUAUUUUUAUUUUUUAUUAAUAUUUGAUUUCAAGGGUUAUUGGGAGUGGACUUGUUUUUUUUCUUCUUCAUUUCUUGUAUAUUGCACUCGAUCUUGUUAGGUUCUCGAUGGUUUUGAUUAUAACACAAAAUAAUGUAAAUUUUAACACAUAUUGAUUUUACUACCCGUGCUUUUAUGGUUAUUUUCUGCUAGUUUCUUCCAAUUGAUGUUGUUUUUAUUGAAGAGAACAAUGUUUGUCAUUGUUAAAAGCUUGCUUAGGUUGACCCUUUUUACCGUAGAUAGUAAUCAAGGGUAAAGUUGAAAAGGUUAACAACCUCAAAUCCAAUCACUUUAUUGUAUCCUCUUUCUAUUUAUUUGCAGAUAGGUGAAUCUUAAACAUGAGUUUCAAUUCAGUCCAUAGAUAUUUCCAGGAUAUAUUUUCUCAUGUAUAGUGAUUCUGUUUUGUUUUUUUUUUCUACCAAAAUAUUAUGUGAUCCAAUUUUAUUUGAGAAUGUGGUUGGGUUGUCACAAGUUCCAAUAUAAAGCCACUGUUUAUUAUUGUGUUGAACAGGUUGAUUCCAAGUUGUUGAGACUGUGAAUAUUAAUCAUUCAAAGGAUGAAGAUAUGAGCCCAAAUAUCAUCCCAUCAAUUUAAAUAAAAAAUCAGUUCCAGUAACUCUUCCAGAUAAUAUGAGCCCAAGAUUCAUAGUAAACCUGGAAGAUAUGUCUACUUAGUAUGUACAUGCAUUCCAUACCACUUUCUUCCUACAUUGAAAUGGUAUCCAUUAAAAAAGUUUGUCAUUCAGUUUUCUCCAACUAUAACGGUGGAGGCCCUUGAAAUACUCGUGUAUCAUUGCAUUCUCAUUCCGGUAAACAUUAAUUGUUGCUUCAGAUUCCAAGGGUUGGACAAUUACUUGCAUGAGGUAUUUAUUUAUAAUUUUGCAAUUUUUUCAAUUACAUAAAUAUUGCUUCUAGUUCUUCAAGGUUUUUGGAUAUCAAAAUGUGAUUUCAUAAUAGUUUUUAAAUAAUUGUUUGCUAAACAUGUUGAUUUGUGAAUUGAAUUUAGAUUUUGCAUUUUAAGAUGGGGUUCGGAGGUGGAGACUAUAGUUCAAGUAUGUAGUUAGGUGAAAACUAUCUUGAGGUUAUUUAUAAUUUAAGAGAUUUAAAUAUGAAAUUUACAAUCUGAGAAUGUUUUCAUCAAGUAUGAAACCAUAUAUCUAUAUUCCUUGUUGAUUUCUUCUAAGAGGCUUUAAAUGUAGUUUAAGAAAUGUAUAUCAAACUAGAUGAUGUAAAUGGAUCUCAUUCGGGAAUAAGUGGCAAAAUUUCUCUGAGUAAUGAUUUCUAAAAUAUGAUAAAUGUUGGGCUAUUGAUUUUGCAUCAACUUAUUUAUUUAUUUUUUCAUGUGAAAAAUGUUAAAAUUAUGGCGUUUACAACCGACAUUAUUAACUAAAAUAAAUCAACAUUAUAUUAUUCGGUAUAUUGCGGCGGUUUGUAUGGCGGUUAAUAAGAAACCGCCAUUUUUACCUAACGGCAGCAAAAUUUACAACAUAAUUGAAAACGCCAUUUCCAUUAAUUAAGUCAGUUAAAAUCGCCACAAUAGUAGUAUUUUAGCAGCCAUAAUUUACCUGAUUUUUUAUUGUUAUGCAUAUUCACAUGCCAUAAUCAUCCAUCAUAAAACAUUCAUUGUGCAUUUCUUCAAAUAACACAUCAUUGAUUCAAAGGUCUGUAUUUCAGAAGCAAUGUGUUGGUUUAUGACUGACAAAAUUAGAUCAUUUAACAUAUUUUGGUUAACACCUUGUGGAUCAAGUCACUCUGAGGUCCUACCUUGAGGUCAAUAUUCUUUUAUCAUGUCAAUUAAUAUUAUGUCAUUGAAAUUUGGGGAGUCAUUCUCAAAUAUUUAUUAUGGUCCCUAAAAGUCAACCAUUUAGAGUUAACUUUUGUUAGCCACUUUCAUUCUUAUUUUGUAAUCAUCUUUGAUUUUGUCAUCCAAGAGGUCAAAGGCUUUUACAUGUCAAGUCUAAAUUCAGGAAGGCAAGGUCAUUCAAAUUCAAAUGUUCAAAUGCUCAAUUUUGGAAGGAAAACAUUAUUGCCUGAGAUGUAAGUUACAUUACGCCAUUUAAAAGCCAUUUUCAUUUCAAAAUAUCCAAUUACAUUACAAAAGGAGACAAAUAACAAAACUUUACACAAAAAUUAUAAAUUUUGACCUACAGUUGACUCGAUCAACUGUUUACUUUUUGGUCAACCAAUUGACCAAAGUCAAUAACUAAUUCUAACCCUAAGUUUUACAUUUUCAUUAUCCUCAUUCUUGUGAAUCUCCAAAGUUCUUCAUGGUUUUGAUUUUUUGACCAAACCUUCAUGAGCAUAUUGCACCAUUCCAUUCCAAGCCCUGCAUAAACACCAGCCAGGUUCAAUACACACAUACACAUAAGGCCACAAUCGAACAAAUCAUGUCAUUUCCUAACAUAUUAUGCACAUCUCAGUUCAUUUACAAGCAUCAUUUAACAGUCCCAUACAAUUUCACUUAAGCAGCGUAGUUAGCAUAAAUUUUCAGAUCAAGACAAUAUUUAACAAUUCCAUUGAAGAAGUUUUUCUCAAAAUAGCAUGAUAACAUCAACAAUUAUAUUCAAGUUCAGCACUACAUUCGGUCACAUAAUAGAAUCCAAACAACCAAUAGCUAACAUCAAUUACUAAAUGCAUUCAUAAUCAGUUCCUCAUUGUUUUGUCUCUAUGUAACCUGUUAAAAUCAAAUUCAAUAAACAAGAUCGAUCAAGCAAUUUGUUGUAUUAAUUGAUUUCACUAUCUUUUUUUAAUUAACUUUCUAAUAACAUUACUCCAACUAAUUCACUCAUUACAAUGGCUAACUGAAAUCAAAUACUAACAUACUUAAUAUCAAUUCUAACCAAUUUCCAUAAUUAAUUCAACAUAAUUCCUCUUUUCAAAAUUCAAUCCAACUGAGUUUUUUCCCCCUUUAUUACACUAACUUUUGCAGCAUGCUGUUAUCGAUCAAACAUUCCACAAACUAUCUUACUAACAAUGCAACAUAACUAAUUUCAAACUAUAACUAGUUUGGACUUUAAUUACUAACCUAUUAACUGAUUUCCCUAACUUUCUAAUUCAAAAUACACUAAUUAAACAUCUUCAUUAAGUGAACCUAGCAAAGCUCGAACAAUGUUGUAACUUCCAAUUAGAUAACUACCUCCAAAUUUUAACCAAAAUACAAAUACAUUCAAUAAGAUUAACCUCAGUUUCACAUUCAAACACUAAAACAUCCCCAUGUUUCAGACUCAUUAAUCCAAACAUUUCGACACAAGCAAUCCUGUAAAUUAAAUGUUGCUAACAUGAUUCAAACUCAAGCAUAACAAGUCUCAAUGUACUCAAAAACCAUUGCAACACCAUGUUCAUAACAACGUGCCUCUCAACUGUGUAUUCCAAUUCAAUAUCAACACAUCCUACUUCCUACUAUCAAUUACACUAACUCAAAGUUAACCUAACUGUUUUUAUCGAUUCCAAUGACCAAAUUCAAGGCACCUAACUAACACUUAAAAUUUUUUACUAAUAGAAUUCAAUUUAACUAACUGAAUCUCAUUAACUUCACUUAACUUACUCUUAACAGAGUCCAUCCUCCUAACAAACUUUUACUGAGAAAUCUAACAGAAGUUAACUACCUUAACCCCUAACUGAGCUGCCCUAUUCAGUUACACCACUCAACCUCUAUAUAAUUCAUCAUCACCAUUCAAUCAUGGAAAACAAUUAUCUACUCUACAAAUCAAUCACAAUUCACUGAAAUUUCACUCUCACUGAGAAGUUCCCACUGUAAAUUUUCUAUGAACCUCUCACUUUUUAUGCAUUUCUUCCUCAAUUCUCAUUAAUAUCACAUAAACGAUAACAACACAAAACAAAUUCACCCACAUACUAUGAUCAGAAAAAUAGCAAGUGUACUAUUUUGCCUUUGUAAUCAUAAUGAGGAAAGUUCCUCGAAUGUCGAUAUCAAUGAUUGCCUGUAAAUCUUGAGUUCUAGUUGUUGUUCAAUUAAACAAAAACUAAUGUUUGGAAUUAUUUUGCUAAAUUAUUAAAAUAAUUAGGAAUAUAGUAAAUGAGUGUCGUGAACGAUUUUGACAGAUAUUAGUAAUAUGCUAGGGAAGGUGUGUGAUUUAUUCGUGUAACAACUCUGGAUCAAUACUGCAACAACAAAUAUCAAUUAAUUAAUAUCAGUUCUUAAGGUUGUUUUCUCAUACUGUCUUAGUGAGAAAACCUUUAGUCAUUCAUCCCUAAUCUCUAUGUUCAUAGACAUUUACCGAUGAAAUUAAGCCUUAUAAUAUCAAGAAUAAUCUGGUUUCUAUCGGGUAUCCCUAAUCCUAGGCUACGAUAGAAUAUUCUCACGAAAGCAUUAUCAACGGCGGUCCAACCUAAUUGAUAACCAUAUUUCAAUCUCAAUUAUUCCGAAAGAUAAAGCAUUAAGAACAUCAAGAGAAUAUAUUAAUUAUGAAAAAUAACAUUGUUAUUGAAAAUAUAAAAUCACAGUCAUUACAUGUUCAAAUCAGGGGUACCCCCUAGCAUUGGGGGGUUUAGCUACUCAUAGUAUUCAAGGAAAUCAAAACAUAAAGUGUAGAUAUUACAAGUACUUAGAUGAAAUUUGAUCUUCAAUCGCUUCCAUUCAUAAAAAUAUCCUCUCCCCCAAGCCCUUGUUUUCUCCAAUUCUGAAUCGUGUAAUUUUUCUCUUGCCAAAAAGUUCCCCUAUUCUUGUCCAAAAAUUCCCUUAAAUAGAAAAAGUGUCUCCUUUAUCUUUCUCUCUCUUCAACAGACCCAAAAUAGUCAAUAAAAUCAGGUUUAGAAUGGACCAAAACACCAUGAGUUCUCAAAUUUCACCCAAAAAGGAAAUAUUUGGUCUCAUAACACAUGCCUGCUACGACCCGUAGCAGGUGCUAUGGGUGGUCGUAGCGCUCCACUUCUUCUGGUCCAGGCUUCAUUACUACGGCCAGUAGCAGGCUGGAAUAUCUGUUUGAACCUGAAAAAUAGUAAAGACACACAACCAAAGUAUAACAUGCGGAAAAUAGAAAUAAAACUUAAAAAUAAAGAAACGAUUAAAUCAACUAACUGUAAAAGAAACUGACUCAAAAGACCAUUAAAUAAGACAAAGUCUUACAGUUUACCUGGAUUUUUUCCGAAUAAGUGACAUAACAUGUAACAUAAAUGGUGACUGGUCAGACUAUGUAAUAGAGAGGAAUAAUAAAAAUAUUACACAAGGCAGAGCAAAGAAUUCGGAAUCGUACUUGGGGAAUCUUUGGUAUUCUUGAUUUUUUUCACUUUGUCAUCUUCAAUUUCAAUACACACUGGGACACAUCUCAGUUUUGAAGGUAGGUUCUGAACCUUUCCUCCUCUUGCAUAUGUCUUCUUACCUUGAUGUAGUCUAAUGCCAUAGGGACUAAACCCCUAAGUUUUAGAUCCUUUGCAAAGUCCCUGCGCCAUUUAAUUUUAGAGUUGGUUCUUAGGGCUUAUAUGUUUUUUGCGUUUGGUUAGAGCAUGUGGCUAGGAAUUAGAAGAAGGUGAGGUAAGAAUCAAGUAGAGUGGUUAGAGACGGUUAUGAUGAGUUAGGUUUGGUGGUGAUUGGACCUCUGUCACCGUCAGAGGCGAUUUUCGGCGCGACAAGGUUAGGGAAGAUGGUAUCUCGGGCGAGGCAUGAAUAUAAAUGAAAGAAGUGAUUUGAUCAUGUAUGAUUUUCCCCCUGCCUUUGGAUUGAUGCGUGUUGGGCCUGGCACCCUUGGGCGAAGUCGUUUACAUGUUGAACCCUACAAUAAACAAUACACCCCCCUUUGUUUAUUGCCUGAGCCAAACACCUCUCCCUUUGGGCCUUCUGAGCCCAUUCCGAACCUAGUUGCUUACUAUACACCUUGUCAUCCCAAGCAUACCUCCAUGCAUCCUUUGUUUUUCUUCUCAGUUUUUUUAUCUCUUUCUUUAAACUUUUAGUGUUGUUCUUUUAAUAUCAUGAGAUACUUUAAAAAAUGAUAACACUUAGAUUUUAAGAUUUAAUUGUUUUCCACAUUCAAUCCAUAUUUUUUUGAAAAAUAAAUAAUGAUCAUUAGUUUUUUUAGAAUAAAUUUUCAAUUUAAUUUUUUUAGAUGAUGAUAAAACAUGUUCAUAUUAGUUUUAAUAUCAGGUAUUGAUGUGCUUUUUAACUCUAUGUUUCCCUUAAAAUUCUAGACUUUAAUGAGAUUUAUGUGCUUGAUUCAUACUCUGAUCUUACCCCUAAUUUAUGAGUUGAUCAAAGUCUUCUUUGAUUAACUAAUCACUUUGUAUGUCUGAUUACCCUAUCUAGUCAAGUGUCAAAAGUCUCUUGAUUGUUUGAUAGGAUUAGUCCUCUGUAUUGGAGUUUCAAUGUAUCUCAACUCAAGUCAAGCUUCUCCAUUAAGACUUUGAAGACUUUAGAUGUCAAGAUUGAUUCACCACUCAAGCACAACAAAAAUAUUCUCCUUGCAAAACUUGUCAGUUAUGAUGUGAGUCGCACACCACGAGCCUUAAGUAGUGGAGAAGGAAUGAGAGAGAGUAUUCAUAUCCUCAUUCUAAAUAUCUUUGGAUACGGGAGACCUAACCCAAUUGUUUAAAGUAUUCACCUCCAUUCAUAGACUUUAGUGGAAUUCAAAUCAAAUAAUUGACAAGUCCUUUUCCCCAUGGACCACACUACAACAAUCAACAUCAAUGACACUCAUCUCUGCACCACACUCUCUGGUUUAAACACCACUCAUUAUUUUCUUUUGGUUUAAACACCACUUUUACUUAUUUUUGUUUAAAUACCAUUUUAUUUGGUUUAAACACCAUUCUUACUCUCUUGGUUUAAACACCACUUCUUGGUAGGUCUGGAUCCUCGAAUCUGGAUAAAAUCCUACGAAUCUGUUUGAUUUAAACACCAUUUUUUUGGUUAAACACUAUUUUUAUCACUUAGUUUAAACACCACUUUUCCAGUUUAAACACCACUUUCCCGGUUUAAAAACAACUCCUUUGGUUUAAACAUCAUUUUUAUGUCUCAUUCAGUUUAAACACCAUUCUCUCGGUUUAAACACUAUUCCCUUUACCCUUCCAGGUUUAAACACCACACCCUUGGUUUAAACACCACACCUUUGGUUUAAACACCGCUCCCUUAGAUUAAACACCACUCUUAUUCUCUUUUGGUUCAAACAUCAUUUUGUAGCGGUAAAAAUUUUGAGAUUAAGCUAUUGAUUAACUUAACUCGCAAAACAAGAGUCACCACCACACUUUUAUUGUUUCUAAAGGGAAAAUGGGAAAAAGUAUGAACAAAACCCAAAGAAGUUUUUAAAAAACAAAACUAAUAAAAAGAGAACAAGGGUCAUGGGGUUAGUUAUGCAAAGGGAAUGUAUUAGCACCCUAAGCAUCCAUGAUACUCCAUGUGAACCUUUUUGAAAAUAUGUACAUUUUAGUUUGAAAAAGGGUGUUGUUUGUUGAAAGAUUGGAGAGAUAGGAAAAUAAGUAUAUUUUCUUUAUUUUUUAGGUUUGCCAAGACUUUUGAAGUCUCAUUCCUACGUACCAACAAAGUGCAAUGGAGGAUCAAAACCUCGUAGUUCAUGGUAAAAAUAACAAAGGGAGUUCGUUUUGAUUUAUUUUUUUAUGGAAAAGACAUUUUGUCAUUUUAAGGAGAAUACUCGACUUGUCACCCACAAGUAUGAGAACUUUGAAUCACCGUGAGAAGGGCUCCAACUUGGAUAAAAUCAACAAGUAUACCACUAGAUCUCACAGAUGGAAAAGAAUUAUCAUCAAUACUAUAAGACAAGAGAAUUAUAUCUCAACUAUGGAAAUGACUCAUGUCUAAUACCUUGAGAAAAGUUUUAAGAGGAAAAAGUGCAUAAGGGCACAAAGUGGUUUGAAUGAGUUAGGCAUUUUUUAGUCUUUUGAAAUUGGUCUAAAUAUGCUUAAGAUGGAUUAGAACUUAUUAAGAAAAAGGUUUUGAAAAUCACUUUACAAAAGUCAAGGUUUAUUGAGAAAAAUGAUUCAAGUUUGAAAAACAAAAAGGUUUUGAAAAAGAGGGAAGAUUUGAAAAUUAAAGAAUGGGAGGAGAAGAAGAGACUACCCUAGAGCACAAAGUAAAAGCUAAUGAGGAAAGAUCUAACCAAGAAAUAGCAAGCUUUAUGACAUAAGUCAAGCAAGAAUUUCCUCCUUUGGAUUAAGCCUCAAACAAGCUAAGCUAAGCAAAUCAUAAUUCAUGUAGCAUAUGAACCCAAACUAACUAAGCCAAGUCUUCACAGAGAAGUCCAAAGUCAAAGGUAUCCGGUGAAUUCCAAGGCCUCGAGUCAUAAGUCCCAAAGCUAGGGUUAAGAUCCUAAUUCUAAAUCCAUAACUCCACAAUGAUGCCAAGGAUAGUAACCACAAGUUCAUGAAUUAGGGGAAACAAGUUUCUUUUUUAGGUUUUUUCUUAUUAAUGUUUUCUUUACAAAGAUAUGAGAGUAAAGUCCAAAUGGACAAAAGACAAAUGACAUAAUCACGAAUCAAUAUGAUAUGAAAUGCUCAAUAUAAAGUAUACGUAAAUGGUAUAAGUAAAAGUGCAUGAAGUAAAUGACUUGGAAAUAAAAGUUAAUACAAGUCAAAAGUUAGUAAGGGAUGUUAGUAGAGAUGAAAAUAUGUUUUUUUGUCAUCUUUUGGAGAACACUCAACUAUCCACUCAUAAGCAUGAAAAUAUGAAUAUAUACAUCAUUUGUGAGAAGGGCUCCAACUUAGAUAAAAUCAGCAAGUAUGCCACUAACUCUCACAAAUGGUAAAGGAGCAACAUUUUCAUACAAUACCAUGAGGGAUAGGCGACUUACGAUCUCACUUAUAAAAAUGUCAUUGCCUUUGGGACAAAUUUAGCGCUAUGUUAAGCAAUCGUAAUUAGACUUAUGUAGAAGUCACAACUAUCUGAGGUCGGUCAAUAAUAAUGUUUGUGUUAAUACAUGCUAGAGAAAUGAUAUGUAAAUCAUUCUCCUAAAGCCAUACCCCACAAAAAAGGGGAUGAUCAAGCACAAAGGCUAAAAGGAUGGUCCAUUACUUCAUUCCACACUUCAUGACACUUAGGACAAACUUAUGCAUCAAUCCAAAGUACCUUAAAUGAUUCAUGAUCACUUAGAAUGUAGUUUUGAAAUGAUGGAAGUUCAUCAAGUACCAAUCCACACAUCAUGAACAAGAUGGACACAAGCCAUCCAAUUGAUCCAAGGGAAAAGAAAGAGAUGAAGAAGAGGGACACAAGAGAAGUCAUACUCAAAUUGGAUCAAAAGUUUGAUCAAGUCAUCAUCAAAAUCAAUCAUCCAUUUUGGUGGAUUAGGGUUUUCACCCCCAUCAACACCCAAGAUCCAUUGAGUUUGAUGAGACUUGAAGUCCAAACCAUCAUAAUCCAAGGCUAAUAGAAGUUCACAAGGUCACAAAAAUAUAAAAUGCAAUUAAAUGAAAUAAAAAUGCAUCAAAGGUAUUUUUAAAUGAUUUUUAAAAUAGAAAUAAAAUGGAAAAUCCAUAAAGUCCUUCAAAACACCAAAUAAAUGGCCAAGAAAUUUAUGGAAGGUUGGAAAUAAAAUAAGAAACAUAUAAUAAAAUUUUCAGAAUUUUAAAAUACCGAAAAGUAUUUUUAAACUAAUUAAAACAAAGGAGAAAAGAGAAAAUUCAUGAAAAAUAUAAAAUCAAUGAAAUAAAAUGAGGAAAAAUAAAAAUCAGAUGAAGAAAAAUAAAAGAGAAUUUUAGAAAUUAAUAUGAGAUUUUUUGGAUGAAAAAUUAAAUUACUAUGCAUUUUUAAAGAAAAAGAAAUUUAAAAUAAUAAAAGAAAAAGAAUUAAAAUCAGAAAAAACACAGAGCGUUGGAUUAGCCUCAUUAAUUGACGUGACAGAUCCAACACUCAAAAGGUUAGGAUGCAUGGUGGAACACACUAUAAGCCAAAUACAGGAUCCAAUUCAAAUUCAACCAAUCAAAACAUUUCAAUUUGCCAACGUGUCUGGUUCAAACUCAGACAACCUAAGAAAACUCCUGUCAUCUUCUCCGGUGAGCUCUUACUGGAGUCUAAGAAACAAACAAGUCAUGAAAAAUAAAACUAAAUAAUGAACACGAUCAAUCAACAUCAAAUAAGUUAAGGGAAACAUCAAAGAGUGAAGGACUACAUUGUGGUAACUUGUUUGAGUUCAAAUGAUGCUCAAAACUACCUUGUCCAGAUGGUGAUCAGAAGUUGAUGAAGCUCAAUCUUGUUAGAGAAUUUCAUAAGGUCUCAGAGCUUGGGAAUUGUUUCAAAAGUUUAAGAGGAUGCCGAUGAAGCUAAUGGAACCAAGAAAUUGGAUUGAAACAAGCUGAAACUCAAAACGCAAUAAUUGAAUUUUCUGGAAAAAAUUUGAGUUGCAGCCGGGGUUUCUUGGCUCUCUAAAGCUUGCAAAUGAAGGCAAUAACUUCCUCUAUUUAUAGGGAAUGUGUUUAGAUCCAAAUACGUGUGGAAUGAUGCAGAAUUCGUGCAAAACGAAUUUGAUCAAAAUGUGUGAAAAGUAUGACUUGAAACUCAUCAAAACUCAGCCAAAUGAUGCAUUUUAAGUGUCAUUUAACUUCUGGAGACUUGUUUAAACAUGUUUAGGACCAAAACACUUGUUAAUUUUGCUUGGAAUUGAGAUUAAUCAGGAUCAGAUUUCGGGCAAUGGUGAUUUCUUCGAUUCCAAGUCACCAUGUUCAACUCAAUGGGGCAUCCUACUCAAGAGGCUUUAUGAUCCCAUUAUCAUGGACAAGAUUAAAAUGUGCCAAUAAAGGUUUCAUUUGGAUGUUUGAGCACAAAGUUAUGGCAUGUUGAAGUUGGCAUGAAAAAAUGGUUAUGUAACUUAGAAAAAUUUGAGUGUUUCAUGGCUGAAAAUGACCUAUAAUUUCUCCAUGAAUUACAUGGCCUUCCAAGCAUAUUUUGACCUUGGUCCUUGAAGAAAACUUGUGUAUGGCAUCACAAAUGACAUUGAGCAAAAAGAAUCAACUCCAUAUGUUGAAAAUUGAAGAAAAUAUGAUCCUUGAAAGUUGGGGAAAAAUCACUUGAAAAUAGGUCAAAUUUCAUUAAGCCCACAAAUGACCUAUAAUGUCUCCAAACUUUUGAUAAUCCUCCAAGCAUAAUUGGCUCUUUUCAUGUAAAGAGAAGUUGUAGAUAACGUUUAGAAGAGUCAUAUUCAAAAAGAGGCAUUAAAAAUGUUGAGAAUUGAAGGAGUUGUGAUCCUUGGAACUUUGACUUCAAAAUGUUGACUUUUAGGUCAAGCUUCUUGGAACAAGCUUGUAUACUUGGACUUUUCUUGCAUUUCAAAGCACAUGGUGAUCAUAUGAACUCAAAAUAAGGUGCCCUUUAUUUCCUCUUAAUUAAAUUUCUCAAAGCUUGAAGUUUCUUGUUGAAGAAGGCAUGGAAAUAAACACAUGAACCUUUUGACUUUCCUUGAGAAGUAAGCCACAAAACUUUGAGAUGCUCCUGAUUUGAUGAGCCAUAUCUUGCACAAAAACCUAACGAAAACAAGACAUAUUUUUUGUAUUUUGAUUAGUGGUUAGAUAAGAAAUGAAUCAAAUGAACACACAAGUAAAAACACCAUCAAAGAGGUGCUUGGUGAUCCCUGCAAAAGCAAAACCAAAGAUGGAUAGCGAAAGGACCAAGAUGGGAAUUUGUUUGUAUGCAAAUGAUGCAAAUGAUGAAAAUGAUAUGUGGGAUCUUAGGAUUAAAAAUUAUGGUAUGACAGAUGCCCCUAUUUAAUUUUCUUCAAUUUGGAGAUAUGAAGGUUGAAAUCUUUGUCUCGACAAGAAUGGAGAGACUUAAAUAUUAAAGAGCCAAUUUUUUGCCCUAAGAUACCGCGAGAUGUUUAUGAUAUGAUAUGAAAACAAGGAUCUCUAUGGGGAAUAUAGCGUCACGAGAGACAAAGAACUGCUAGAGAAAAGAGGAGACUGGAAUCUUGCGGGGGGGUGAAAAUUCCAAGAGGGUACCCUACUGGAGACAAACAAAUUUCUGCGGGGCGAAAAGGCAGAGCUCGAAAAUAACUAAUGCAUGGUUAGAAACAAACUAAAUAUCUAAAGGGGAAGACUUAUCAAAGCAAGACUUCAUUGGGGAAAAGCAAUCAUCAAAAGGGGAAAACCUUGACUCCGAUAAGAGAAGAAUAUUACCUAACUAUCAGCCGAUUGAUAGCUUAACAAAGGUAAUAAUCUCAAAAGGAUGAUUUAGAACUACCAACCAAGUGGUUACUUAACAAAGGUAACCAAUCAAAGGUAAAAGGAAUAUUACCUACUAUCAACCGAUUGAUAGCUUAACAAAGGUAAUAGGCUCAAAAGGAUGAUUACUAACUACCAUCCAAGUGGUAAAUUAACAAAGGUAACUAAUCAAAGGUAAAAGGAAUAUCACCUACUAUCAGCCGAGUGAUAACUUAACAAAGGUGAUAAGCUCAAAAGGAUGAUUACCAACUACCAACCAAGUGGUAACUUAACAAAGGUAACAAAUCAAAGGUAAAAGGAAUAUUACCUACUAUCAGCCGAGUGAUAACUUAACAAAGGUAAUAAUCCAGGGAGAAUGAUUACCAUCAUAAGCAUAAGCAUUGGGAUCAUAUCCUGGCAUCUUCCUUACCCCUCCUUCAUUGGGUUUGUCUUGGGAGAGAUCACCAAGCACUUUGUGAUUAUAUCAUACUUGUAUUAUAUCAUUUUACUAACUAAAAUGCCAAAAAUAUGUCUUUGCAUCUAUCUAACUCUUUUUGUAGGUAGGGCAUGAUCUCAUUAAUUCAUUGAUCACAUCUAGGGUUUGAGACCCUCAUGAACAAAGAGCACAACCAAUAAUUGAUUUAAUAAUGGUUAUAAACAUAAUAUAUGAGUCCCAUUGAUCUCUACAUGUUAUAUUGAUAAAGUUUUCUUCAAGAGUUUGAAGGUGAUUUGCCUUGGAAACCCUAGUUUGACUGGGUAUCUUAAGUAACUUCUCCAACAAGCUAUCUCACCAAUUGAUCAAAUUUCUCAAGGGACACUUUAAAAAUCAUCAUAUUAUGCAUAUAUGAUCUACCAUGAUCCAAUAAAGUCAAGAGAAUUGGAAAUUAGCAAGUUGGUUGAUGGUGGUUGGCCAGAUGAAUUCAUCUAAUCAAAACUGGGUCUCCCUAGACCCUAUCUCCUACAAUUUUCACCAUAUGAAAAUUAUUCCAAGAGANNNNNNNNNNNNNNNNNNNNNNNNNNNNNNNNNNNNNNNNNNNNNNNNNNNNNNNNNNNNNNNNNNNNNNNNNNNNNNNNNNNNNNNNNNNNNNNNNNNNNNNNNNNNNNNNNNNNNNNNNNNNNNNNNNNNNNNNNNNNNNNNNNNNNNNNNNNNNNNNNNNNNNNNNNNNNNNNNNNNNNNNNNNNNNNNNNNNNNNNNNNNNNNNNNNNNNNNNNNNNNNNNNNNNNNNNNNNNNNNNNNNNNNNNNNNNNNNNNNNNNNNNNNNNNNNNNNNNNNNNNNNNNNNNNNNNNNNNNNNNNNNNNNNNNNNNNNNNNNNNNNNNNNNNNNNNNNNNNNNNNNNNNNNNNNNNNNNNNNNNNNNNNNNNNNNNNNNNNNNNNNNNNNNNNNNNNNNNNNNNNNNNNNNNNNNNNNNNNNNNNNNNNNNNNNNNNNNNNNNNNNNNNNNNNNNNNNNNNNNNNNNNNNNNNNNNNNNNNNNNNNNNNNNNNNNNNNNNNNNNNNNNNNNNNNNNNNNNNNCUAGUUUUGCUUGGAAAAUCAUUUUCUAUGUUGAAACAUUAUAGGUCAUUUUGUCUAAACCCUAAUUUGAAAGUCAACUUCCCAAGACCAUAACUUUCUCAAUCUUUAUGAUAUGAAAGAUUUCCAAGUUGCACAAUCAAAUUCAAUGUGUCUACUUAAACUUUUAUGUUUGGAGUGAGAGCUAAUUCAACUUUUUUGAGCAUGUGAUAUGAGGCUACAUUAUAGGUCACUUUUGACCUAUAUCAUUGAUCAAGUGAUUUUUCCAAACUUCAAAAAUGCAUAACUCUAUCAUUUCAAAUCCAAAUGACAUGAAAUUGGUGACCAUUUUUAAGGUCUUUGAGAUAGAUACAACUUUGAUGAAUACACUUUUCUCAUUUGAAGCUCCCAUAAAAAGUUAAGCAAGGUGGAAUAUUGAGACAUAUGGCUUGACACUUAGAAAAUUUUUGAUAUGUCAAAUUUUUCCAAACUUCCACCUCAGAUUUCUCCAAGUUCCAAGCUCCAAAUGAAAAAGUGUUCAACAUUUAACUUGUUCCUCUUGAUCUCACCUUUCUAAAGAGCUCAAAUUCAUUCAUUUUGGAUUAGAAAUGCAUAGGCUGCACAUGGCUUUAACAGGCUGAUAUCAUUUGGCAUGGAUCCAACUUCAAACAACAAUGCACAUUUGCCUUGCAAUCCAAUCAAUCUCCAAAGCAUCUGAACUUCAUUUUGGACUUUCAAACUAUCAUUCCAUGGGCCUAUGCGUGCCAUGCAGCUUUGCAUCAUCAUUUUACCAAAUUUGGAAAGUGGAAAGAGUGUGCAAAUAUCACAUGGAUUUGGCUAUAAAUACAACUGCAUUUGCUCAAAAAUCACACACACAUUGCGCCAGCUUUGAAUCUCCAUUGAAAACCUUUCACUCUCAAAGGAUAACCCUGAUAAAUUCAUUUGAAUUUGAGCUUGAAUCUCCAUUAUUUUGGAAUUCAAUUCUCCAGGAGUCCAUUGCUUCUCAACCUUUCCAUUCCUCUCCUGCAAGCAAUUGAAGUGAAGCCAAGCACAAUUCAUAUCAAGAUCCAUCGUGUUCAGACCUCCAUUAAAGGUAAUUUGCAGAAAUUUUAAACUCUUCGAUUCUCUUAAAUUGUUGCUCAAUUCCAUUGAUUCUUUGGUUGUCUGAAGUCCUACCAAUGUAGGCAAGAAGUUUGAGUUGCUUUGAGGUCAAAUCGAAGCAACUCAGAUCAUGUACCUCAUUUUUCAAUUCCACAUAUCUCUUAAUAUAUUUGUAAUUGGAGGAAUUGGAGGUCAUAUUCGAGCUCAGUGAUGUUUUUUCUUUAAGAUCAUGUCCCUAUUUCUUUUUUUGGUGAUGGUUCAUGAUGACCAGUCCGAUGAAGCUCACCGGAGAAGACAACCGGAGCUCUGGCUCCGGUGAUGAUGUGUCUUGUCUCUGAACCACUUGAUCCAAGUCCCAUGUUCUAAUUUGGAUCGUUCCUUGUGAUUACUCCUUUUGCCACGCGGUUGACUCAGGUGUUGGUGGAACGCGCGUUUUGGAUCAUCAGAUCUGUCACCUCAAUUAAUGAGGGAGAUCUGAUGGUCCACGUAUUUUGGUAUUUUCUGAAUUUUAUUUUAAUUGCAUUUUAUUCAAUAAUUCAUAUUAAAUUCAACAUUGAUUCAAAAAAUAUGGGACUUUCACCAAAAAAAUUCAAAUAUUUUUCUCUUUCAUAUUCUGAAUUAAAAUUAUUUUUUGGAUCAUUCUUAAUAUUUUUCAUGAAUUAAUUGAUUUUUCAUUUGUUUUUAAUUGUUUAAAAAUAUUUUUAAGUGUCCAAAAAUUAUGAAUUUUUUUCUCUAAGGUCCUUUGACCUUGUUUGACCUAUGAUAAAUCUCAUGGCCAUUUCUUUGGUGUUUUGAUGAGAUUUUAGGAUUUGGACAAAACAUAUUUGAAUUGAAUGCAUUAUUUUAUUAUUUUUAAUUGAAUAAAUGCCAUUUUAAUUAUGUUGACCAUUUGUAUUGACUUAAUUGAGUCUAAUUGUUUAUUGUUGGGCCUUGGUCAAGGUUGAUUUGACUUUGUCAAAUUAAUAUCAUUGGAUUUAGGGGAUUGAUGGAAUGUACAUUCCAUCCCCCAAAAUGAAUGAAUGAUAUUAAUUUGGUAAAAGUCCUCCUUUGACCAAUUUGUGAUCUCAUUAAUCCCUUUCCCUCUUCAUCUAAUUCCCCUUCUUCAUUCAUUCAUUUCCAUUUGGCCAAUGACAUCUCAAAAUCCUAAUGCUAGUUGAUUGAAAGAUUAACAUGAGUAUGAAUGAGAUUAGGCCACACUGUAGCGGGGUAUUCGUUACCAUUAGAGAUAUUGACUAAAUCCAAGGUAAACCAUACAAGUCGAGUCGCCAUCGCACUUCUAUUUAUCCAAAGGAAUGGUUAGAAAGCGAACAAAAACCUAAAAGUUUUAUCAAAUCAAAAACUAGUAAAAAUGUCAGAGAUCUGGGUAAGGGGGUUGGUUAUGCAAUGGGAAGGUUUUAAGCACCCAAAACAUCCUAGGUACUCCUAGGGAGCCCUUUUCAUACUUGUUGUAAGGUUGGUAUUUUUGUGAAAAUUUGUUUGUGCAAACAUGAUUGAAGAGGUGAGAAGAGAAUAUACAAUUUAUUUACAUUUUGUGUUUGGAUGGAUGAACCCAUUGCCUACGUACCAUCUUAAAAAAAUUAGGAUCAAAACCUCGUAGUUCGGGGUAAAAAUCUCAAAAUGAGUUGGUGAAUUGAUUGGUCCAAAAGCCUUAAGGUAUUUUGUUAUCCAAGGGAGAAAACUCAACCUAAAACCACAAAUCCACCAUGUGAGGAUAGCUUCAACAUGCUAGUGAGGGGUUAACCCUAUAAUAAGCAUGGAAGACUCAUUGUCCAUCACUAAGGAUAUAGGUGAGUAUUACAUCUACCUCAAGGAUAACUCAAACCUAAUAGCUAAAGGUUAUGAAAAANNNNNNNNNNNNNNNNNNNNNNNNNNNNNNNNNNNNNNNNNNNNNNNNNNNNNNNNNNNNNNNNNNNNNNNNNNNNNNNNNNNNNNNNNNNNNNNNNNNNNNNNNNNNNNNNNNNNNNNNNNNNNNNNNNNNNNNNNNNNNNNNNNNNNNNNNNNNNNNNNNNNNNNNNNNNNNNNNNNNNNNNNNNNNNNNNNNNNNNNNNNNNNNNNNNNNNNNNNNNNNNNNNNNNNNNNNNNNNNNNNNNNNNNNNNNNNNNNNNNNNNNNNNNNNNNNNNNNNNNNNNNNNNNNNNNNNNNNNNNNNNNNNNNNNNNNNNNNNNNNNNNNNNNNNNNNNNNNNNNNNNNNNNNNNNNNNNNNNNNNNNNNNNNNNNNNNNNNNNNNNNNNNNNNNNNNNNNNNNNNNNNNNNNNNNNNNNNNNNNNNNNNNNNNNNNNNNNNNNNNNNNNNNNNNNNNNNNNNNNNNNNNNNNNNNNNNNNNNNNNNNNNNNNNNNNNNNNNNNNNNNNNNNNNNNNNNNNNNNNNNNNNNNNNNNNNNNNNNNNNNNNNNNNNNNNNNNNNNNNNNNNNNNNNNNNNNNNNNNNNNNNNNNNNNNNNNNNNNNNNNNNNNNNNNNNNNNNNNNNNNNNNNNNNNNNNNNNNNNNNNNNNNNNNNNNNNNNNNNNNNNNNNNNNNNNNNNNNNNNNNNNNNNNNNNNNNNNNNNNNNNNNNNNNNNNNNNNNNNNNNNNNNNNNNNNNNNNNNNNNNNNNNNNNNNNNNNNNNNNNNNNNNNNNNNNNNNNNNNNNNNNNNNNNNNNNNNNNNNNNNNNNNNNNNNNNNNNNNNNNNNNNNNNNNNNNNNNNNNNNNNNNNNNNNNNNNNNNNNNNNNNNNNNNNNNNNNNNNNNNNNNNNNNNNNNNNNNNNNNNNNNNNNNNNNNNNNNNNNNNNNNNNNNNNNNNNNNNNNNNNNNNNNNNNNNNNNNNNNNNNNNNNNNNNNNNNNNNNNNNNNNNNNNNNNNNNNNNNNNNNNNNNNNNNNNNNNNNNNNNNNNNNNNNNNNNNNNNNNNNNNNNNNNNNNNNNNNNNNNNNNNNNNNNNNNNNNNNNNNNNNNNNNNNNNNNNNNNNNNNNNNNNNNNNNNNNNNNNNNNNNNNNNNNNNNNNNNNNNNNNNNNNNNNNNNNNNNNNNNNNNNNNNNNAAAAUGGUCAAAGUUGACUUAAAGAUUCAAUUCAAAAUAAGUGUUAUGAAAAGAAAGUUUGAAAAUCAAAAGCAUAAGGCUUAGGUUUCUAAUGUUGAAAACAAAGGUUAAAUGUUUGCACAAUUUUUUUUGGCUUGGGUUAGAGUGGAGAGAAGAAGAAGAAAGGCUAAAGUCCUAAACAUACAAGAGAUAAGGGAAAAGAGAACAAGACCACAAAUGGAGUUCCUCUCUUGAGAUCAAAUUGAUGAUCCAAGUAGCUCCCAUCCUUUGGAAUAAGCAAUCACAUAAGCAUAAACUCAAGCAAUCAACAAUCAAAUGAAUUCUUGGACAAGGCUCCUCAAGGUAUCUUGGAUUCCUCUCUCUUAGAAGCUUAUGGUAAUGGUUCCUCAAUUAGGCUCAGGUUGGAAUCCCUAGCACAAGGACACACACAUCAAAAAGAUUCUACUAACAAUCAAAGAAUGGACAAGAGGGAGUUUAAAAGUUGGCCCUUUCAAAGUCUUCUUCAAUAUUAAGCAUUCUAAAGGCAUGAGGCCUAGUUGCUCUUUGACAUUUAAGCACUCUAAAGGCAUGAGGCCUAGUUGAUCUUCAAACUCCAUUAGCUUGGGUAAGGUCCUAAAGUCUAAGUCCAUUUUGUCAAAUUCUUUGCAUUUGGUUCACAACAAACAAACAAACACGAGCAGAAAGGAUAUAUACACAAUUAUAUACUCAAGUGAGCAAAAGGCAAAUGGAAUUAACAUAAACAUGUGGUCCAAUGAGCAAAGGAAAAAAGCAAAUGAGUAAUAUGUACAAGAAUAAUAAAUUGCAUAAAUGUAAAGUGCAAAAAGUAAAUGUUAAUGGUUAAUAGUUAGUAGUUAGUGUGCCAUAAGGCAAAUUUAGCGCUAUGUUAAGCAAUCGUAACUGGACUUAUGUAGAAGUCAUAACUAUCUGAGGCCGGUCAAUAAUAAUGUAGGCAACAACACAAGUUAGAAGUCUUGAUUAGUGAACCAAGUUCCAACAACUUGCCAUGCCAAAAAGAAAAAAAGAGAAUUGAUCUUGUAUUGGUUUAAGUCCCUUGCAUGAUUUAGGAAACAACAUAUCCUUAAUGCAAAGCCAUUCACUUGAUCAAUUGAUCAAGAUGAAUUAUACUUGGAUCAAGGAAGAUUAAGUCUCCCCAAUCAAUGCUAACUUAUCAACCUUUAACCCAUUGAUCAAAAAGAAAAAAGAAGAAGAUGGAGAUGAAUAAUGGAAAUGGAAAGAUAAAAGAAUAAAGUGCAUUAAAUGAAAUGGCAUAUACCAAUCAACAAAUGUUGACCAAUGAUAUUGAGGAUCAUGGUCAAACACUCAAAAAACAGAAGUGAGAUGAAGAUUGGAAGUCAAGAAAUGAACAAAAUAUUUUUGGCAUUUUUAAUAUUAAAAAAUAAACUUGAAUUAAAAUAUUAAAGAAAAGUCAAACUUCAAAAUCACUUCAAAUCAACCUUGAAAAGUCCAAGUGAUUUAUCCAAAGUUCAACAAGGUCAAACAAAGUUUGACAAAAAAUUUCAGCAUUUUUAAAAGUCAGAAACUAUUUUUAAUCAAUUAAAAAUGAAUAAAAAUAACCUAAUUGAACUAAAAUCUCAAAUAAAUCUCAAAUCAAUUAAAAAAUUGAUGAGAAUAUUUUUCAUAGAUCCAUCAUCAUUCAAAUAGGUUGAGAAAAUAUUUUUGUAUUUUUUGAAUAUCAAAAACUAUUUAAAAUGAAUUAAAAAUAACCAGAAAAGAGAAAAUUCACAAUAAAUAUCAAAUGACAAAAAAAAAAAAAUUAAAAAUCUUUUUUAGAAACUAGAAUUAAAAUGGAGAAGAAUGCAAUUGGUCCCAUAUUUUUUGGAAUUAAAAUGAAGAAGUUAUGAAUUUUUGAAAAUAAAGGAAAUAAAAGAAAUAAAAUCAGCAAUUAAGAAAAUAAAAAAAAACCAGGAGCGUCUGAUCAAGCCUCAUUAAUUGACGUGGCUGAUCAAAGGCUCCACAUGCGCGCGCUCAUGGUGGUCUCCAGUCAAACGCGUCACACAAGGCAUUAUUAAAAGUCAAAUGAAACAAAGGCCAGGAUUAGAUCGUGGUCAAUGGAUCCAAGGGCUAUGAAGCCAUCCACGUGUGGGCGGUGGUGGAAACCACCGUCUUCUCCGGUGAGAAGCCAGAAUCCGGCCACCGGUUGCAGGUUUUCAAACCUCAACCAAAAUGCACGAUCCUUAUACCAAAAUGAAGCUGGGGUGAUGUACAUCACCCCUGUAACCUUGAAUUGUACUCAAAAUUUCUAUGGAAUAAGAAAUCUGAGCUGGAAGAUUCAGGUACAUCAAUUGUAGUUCAUCAAAACACAAAAUCAAAGCCACCACUGGCUUGCCUCUCAAGUGAGGACUUCAGAAAACACAUUGGCCAGGCAAAUAGAUCAUGGAACAAGGAGAUUCGAAGCAAAAAUUAGUUGAACCAUACCUUUGGAUUGUGAAGAUUUGAGAUACUUUCCUUGCUUCCUUUUGCAAAACAGAAGUUCAAUGGAUCAUAUGAUGAAGGUCUAGGAACUUUAGAUCUAAAGAUUCAACCAAAUUUAGUUGAAUUUCAGAUCUGAAAUUUUUAUGAAAUAUGAACUAGUUCCUUUGGUAAUGGCUAUGGAUUCAGUUGUGCAGCAUAUCAGGCAUCUUUAGGUGGCCUUUGGAAGUGAGCAAUGCCUUCUAUUUAUAGAUGGAGCUGAUGUAAGGAGGUGGAAAACUCGUGUGCAUGACAAGUGGAUAUUCUUUGCAUGGGCUUGCAUGAUCAUGUAGAAGGCCCAAACUCAAUUGCAUUUGCAUGCUGAUGACCAAACAACUUGAAAUGGACGUGUAAUUGGCAAUGCAUAAGCUUGAUCGUAAUGAUCAACUGUUUAAUGCAUAAUGAGCCUAAAACUUCACCUCUUCAAAAAUGCCUUGAAAAAUUGAAACAUAGGCAUGGGGUAAUUGGUUGGAAAGGUUUUGACAUAACAGGAACAAAUGUUAUGUUGGACCAAAACUCAUUUGGAGUGUGGAAAAUAGUGAAUUUUGAGUUUAAAGUGUAAGGUGCAAAACAUGCAAAAGUGAAGUUUCCAAAUUUGGCCAAUGUUCAAGCCCUUCUGUUUUGAUGAUGCAAGCCUCAAAUGGAAACACCUUCAACACAAAAGUUGUAUAUCUUCUCAAUAAAAUCAAAAUGGACUUAAACUUUUCAUCAUUUUGAUUUUUGAUGAAGAAGUUAUGGGCACUUGAAGUUGGACUUUUUUGCUUUUCAAUGCAUUUGGUCCAAAGUGACCUAUAAUGUCUUGUAUUAUCACAUGUAUUUGCUUUGCGAUUUUGAAAUUUUGUUAAACAUAACAUUUGAAGUAGACAUCUUAAGCUUUCCAAUUAAUUUGAUACCACCUCAAAAUCAUAAAAAAUGAAUGAGUUAUGUUCUUGGGAAGUUGACCAAAAAUUAGGGUUUCAGUCAAAAUGACCUAUAAUGUCUUGGAGUGGGAGAUGACCUUCAAAGCUUCAAAUCAAUUUUGGAUGAACAUGAAAGUUGUUCAUAUUGUCCUUAAGAACAUUUUUGAUUUUGGGAUCAUCUCUAUUUGACCAACACACAAAAAGUUAGGUCUCAA